GCUCAUUUCCUUUCAGAACAGAUAGUUUACAGAACCCAAAACGCAGCACAUAUGUUGGCUUGGCAACUGAGUGCAAUGAACCAGAAGCAUGCCAAAGCAUUGGACCAUAUGACAACACUUACAUAUUACAUAAAAUAUAUCCUCGAGUCUGCAGCAUUAACAACACCAAGCAAGCUGGGAAGUUGGCUAUAGUUCAGUUCAAAACGAAGGACAACGAUACACUUAUUCUAAAGUUCCUUCCAAAAUUUAUGAAAACGAUGCCCCUAAGGAGGUUGGUAGACGAUUUUGAAGUGGUUACAAUCAGCUCGAUUCAGCACGGCAGUACUCAUAUCCAUCCUAAAUCAAGGAACCUGGGCAAGUGUUAUGGUGUUUGGUACCAGCGCACGGCUAAUCAGAUUCUUGGCGCUGCACAAGAUACCAGUGCAUGAGUUAGGUUAUGUAUUUACCACAGCCAAAAUAAGAUAAACAGAAUAUAACAGUGAACAGAAACUGUCACUAGAGCAAGCUAUUAUUAGCUCCACCAAUUGUGGCUUCGGGGAUUCUUUCUAUCGAGUACCUGUGUUGGGUGAUAUACAUGAUUGCAACACCAGGAACCUGCCAACCAGCAUGUACUCAUUAUCAGCGUAUGGGUAUCGCUCCGAAGUCCUAGUGCUGAGCUUUAAGGAAGGAAGUAUACCUUUCUUAUUCUGCUCUUUAAAUCUCUAUCGCAAGUGGCAACAAUGUAGCAUUUGUGCUGUUACAGAAAACGAGUCAAUUGCAAGAAACCACCACAUUUACGGCUAGAUUUGCAAGAAACCACCAACUCCUUAAUCCGUUGCAAAAAACACCGAAAAAUCUGUUAAGUCGUUGCAAAAAGCACUGAUCGGAUGAUUUGGCCCAUUUAAUCACUUUCUUACAAGUGGGGCCAGAUUAUAAGGAAUUGACUUAGAAAAAAAUAACACACACACACACCUAGAUCUAAAAAAAUAAAAGCAAUCAGCUCCUCACGAUGAUGGCCUCGUCCGCCCGCUCAGAUCCGUCGCUGUUGAGCUCGGUUGCGACGGGAUCCACCGAGGGGAGGUGCUGCAGCCAUGGCUCCUCCUCUGGCCGGGCUCCCCACCACCCUGACCAUGCCCUCUAGCGAGGAUGACGCCAUGGUGGCCCUUCUCCGGCCGCCGUCAAUUUGUGCAACUCGUCCUCUGGCAGCGUCCACUCGCCGGCUCUACUCACAGGGAGGGUGUCCCCUAGGGUGGGCAUCGUCUUGCCCGGCGCAGGCACGGACGGAGAGGUCUCGUCGCCGCCCGGCGAGGCCCUGGUGCGGCGGGAGGCGGCAGCGUUGGAGAAGGAAGAGAGACAGCAGAGUUGGAGAGGGAGAGGGGCGGCGGUGGUGCCCGGUGCAUUGGUGAACUGGCGGAAGCGAGCUACAGGGAAGCCCGAGCGGAGCGGCGCGAGGCUAUGGCGCUGCCGAUGCUGGCAGUCGGAGACGGGCGGAGCCGCCGGUGCACCAGAGAGAGAGAGAGAGACGAGGGGAUUUGAUUGUGUUUUUCUUUUUUGAUCGAGGGAUGUCUAUGUAAAGAGCUUGGAGAAGAAUCUUUUUUUGGACAAGUCAGCUCUCAUGAUCUGGUCCCAUCUGUCAUAAACACCCUUAAACGAGUCAAAGUGGAUGAUCAGUGCUUUUUGCAACGACUUAACAGAUUUUUCGGUGUUUUUUGCAACAGAUUAACGAGUUGGUGGUUUCCUGCAAAUCUAGCCACAAAUGUGGUGGUUUCUUGCAAUUGACUCUACAGAAAACAUGUGGUUUCAAAUGAUUACACUUGAAUCCAAUGUUUAACAUAAAAGGCAACAUAGACCAAAAUGACUAUUGACUUGCCAUCUAAAGAUGAACUUGUGUAAUCCAAGGCAAUAAAGACGGUAUUACUUAUGACUAAACUGAAGCAUUUUGACUUUUGUUUUUGUAUGAAUGUGCGUGAAUAAUUAAAAAAUUAUAUUGUGAAGCCAUUCUUCAUGAUAUUUGAUUGUACAUUAUAUAUAUAUAUAUAUAUAUAUAUAUAUAUAUAUAUCAAUGGUCGAAUAUAGAGAAUUCUGACUGCAUGCUUUCUAGGAAACAUGUAUUGAUACUAGAAGCAUACGCGCGGCUUGCUGUGCCGUUCUACUUUUCUACUGUUUAUUUGUUUGAUUGUUAAUUCACGAAUAGAUUCCUUGUUGCUCUAUUUGAGGUCGGGGGUUGUUUUUCAUUUCAAGGGCCUUCUUUGUUUUGGCUUCCAUAAUUUUGGGGUGAGAAGACCCUUUAUUGCAUUGCAGAAUAUGUUCGGAUGCUAAGACACAUCAUCAUCUAGUUGGUAGGAUAUUACUCUUUUUUUACAACUAUUGUUCUUCACAAAAAUGAUAUGUUAGCAGCACUCCCAAAAACAUAUUCAAAGUAGUGGUUGGUGUCACGUAUGUCCCAGACCUGCAGGGUUACACCGUAGUACUGGAUGGACAAGAUAAUAUUUAUCUGCAAAACUAAUUCAAAAGUAUGAUAUGCAUAACUGAGGUUUCCGAUUGUAGUAUUCAUCUACAACAAUCAUACAGCUCUAUGAUUUGGCCAACCAAUAUUUCAUAACUUACCUUAGUCACAUACAAAUAAUACAAAACACCGAUAAUAAUGGUCUGCAAUAACGGUAAAAGGGUAGUGGAAGUGUGAAAUACCUGGAAGUUGCAACACUGCACCAAAUUAUAUGGCUUAUAGUUUUCAGUAUCGAUCAUUCAAAUGCGUAGUUAGAAUCAAAAUAGAAAGAAAAUAUUUGAAAUAAAAGCAAUGGUUUGCACUGACUAACGACAGGAAAGGGAAUGAAGCAUGUUUAUAGCGGCCUCUAAGAGGAAGAGACGAAAAUGGGAGGGUAGAUAAAUAAUAGUACAAGUGAUUGAUCUCAGUUUUCAUUUGAAUGUAACAUUACUGAUACAUUAAUAAGGUCUGGUCAGCUGUGUAAAUAAGUGACCCGGUGACAAUUAACCAAAUUAUCUCCACAGGAAAACCUAGUUAUCAUCUUGUCUUAUUGUUUUAGUGCCAAUUAAGUUCAGUUAGAGAACAUGCGCCUUAUGCUAAUUAAUAUUCCCUCUAUUCUAAAAAUAUAGUACAUACUUUGUUUUGAAAAGUCAAGCGUAUCAACGUUUGACCAAGUUUUAAAAAUUCAACAUCCAAAUGUACUUUUAUAGUUUAUUUAUUUAGUACUUAGGAUAUUGAUAGUUAUUCUAGACACUUCGUCGAACAUGGACAUUUUUUACUUUUGAAAAAACUAAUAUGCACUGCAUUGUGGAAUAGAGGCAGCAUAAAGCAUGCCAUGUAUAAACUGACUAAGGUUGUUAAUCCGCGAGCACGGACAUGGUACUCAAGUAGUGAAUGUGAUGCUUCUAGAUUGAAACCUUACACGGUGAGACAAAAUCCUGGUAUAAUGUACUACUUUUUUAGCCCCGAAGCGAGCGAGAUUGAAUUUGAAUCAGGGUGUCAAAGAAAGGAUGGCAGAGGGAGAGGAAGGAGGUAUCGGGAGUUGUACUGCAGACCUUUUUGACCAUGGCGUGCUGAUGAAGGCGACGAAGUUCCGAAGACGAUAGCCGUCCCUGUCCAGUGCCAUUGCUAGCCGUGGCAGCCUACCUUGUCGACUGCUCCUCUAGGCCCCAAGCGUCGUCGCCGUUGGACGUUAAUUACCGCACAAAAGAAGGGGAGAAACAUGAAGAGAUGGGUGGCGUGUGCGGCAUGGUGGUUGACAGGCAAAGCCCGUGCAGCCAUGUGGUGUGGAGGAGGCGGUGUGGGUCGGGCAUCUGUGCAACCGUGUGGUGUGGAGAAGGCAUUGACGGAUCGGCGCCUGUGCAACCAUAUGACGCGGAGGAGAAGGUGAUGGUCCAGGUGCCUGUGCAACCGUGUGGUGCGGAGGAGGCGGUGAUGGCUCAGGCAUACCCCAUGAGAGAAUGGGAGAAAGAUGGGGAGAUGGGUGGGGCAUGCGGCAUCGUGGUGGACUGACGGCGCCCAUGCAGCCAUGUCACGCAGAGAAGGCAGUGAUGGGCCAAGCUAGCGGUGACCGUGCAGGUGUGCGAUGGUACAUCCACUACAAAAAAAAGACACAUCCGUGACAUUAUGGGCCGAACGAAAAAAAAUUCUGUCAUACAUAUGACACUGCUAUGACGAUAAUUGUGACAAAACCCGGUAUCAUCAUAGAUGUGGUGGGAUCCUACUUCUAUGACAAAAAAUCAUGAUAGAAAAUGGGCUUUUCGUCCUGGGCGGGCCGGAGACGCAGCUGCAUGACAUUCUUUGGACCGUCCAUGACGGAAAAAACCGUGGUAGAAGCGAGGGGGAGGAAAAUUUCAGGGAGUUCCCGGUUACGGUGGGAGGUCGGGGGCCGACUGAUGCAUGUUUCUCUCGUACACAUACGCGCGUGUGUGCGAGGCGUUGGCUCUAACUGAACCCGAGCGAGGCGUUGGGCUCUAACUGAACCCGAGCGAUUGCACUGCAGGCUACGCGUUACUGAACCCGAGCAAUCGAUCGAUGGCUGUUAACUGAAACCGAUCGAGCGAUUCCUUCGCUACUGCUGCUAACUGAAGCCGNNNNNNNNNNNNNNNNNNNNNNNNNNNNNNNNNNNNNNNNNNNNNNNNNNNNNNNNNNNNNNNNNNNNNNNNNNNNNNNNNNNNNNNNNNNNNNNNNNNNNNNNNNNNNNNNNNNNNNNNNNNNNNNNNNNNNNNNNNNNNNNNNNNNNNNNNNNNNNNNNNNNNNNNNNNNNNNNNNNNNNNNNNNNNNNNNNNNNNNNNNNNNNNNGUGGUUGGAUGAACAGUGAGCGGUGGCGUUGCCUCUGGAUGAACAGUAGACGAUGGAGGGGUGGUUGAACAGGACCCCGUGGUGUGGAGGGCUGGAUGAACAGUAGACAGUGGAGGGGUGCCCGUGGAGGGGUGGUUGAACAGUAGCCGGUGGAGUAGCGCGCGGUGGAGGCUGGAUGAACAGUAGCCAGUGGAGUAGCGCGCGGUGGAGGCUGGAUGAACAGGAGCCCGUGGAGGCUGGAGGAGUUCGAAGGUAGCCCGUGGAGGCUGGAGGAGGUCGACGGUGGAGAUGUGUUGGAAAUAUGCCCUAGAGGCAAUAAUAAAUUGGUUAUUAUUAUAUUUCCUUGUUCAUGAUAAUCGUUUAUUAUCCAUUCUAAAAUUGUAUUGAUAGGAAACUCAGAUACAUGUGUGGAUACAUAGACAACACCAUGUCCCUAGUAAGCCUCUAGUUGACUAGCUCGUUGAUCAAUAGAUGGUUACGGUUUCCUGACCAUGGACAUUGGAUGUCGUUGGUAACGGGAUCACAUCAUUAGAGAAUGAUGUGACGGACAAGACCCAAUCCUAAGCCUAGCACAAGAUCAUGUAGUUCGUUUGCUAAGAGCUUUUCUAAUGUCAAGUAUCAUUUCCUUAGACCAUGAGAUUGUGCAACUCCCGGAUACCGUAGGAAUGCUUUGGGUGUACCAAACGUCACAACGUAACUGGGUGGCUAUAAAGGUGCACUACAGGUAUCUCCAAAAGUGUCUGUUGGGUUGGCACGAAUCGAGACUGGGAUUUGUCACUCCGUGUAAACGGAGAGGUAUCUCUGGGCCCACUCGGUAGGACAUCAUCAUAAUGUGCACAAUGUGACCAAGGAGUUGAUCACGGGAUGAUGUGUUACGGAACGAGUAAAGAGACUUGCCGGUAACGAGAUUGAACAAGGUAUCGGUAUACCGACGAUCGAAUCUCGGGCAAGUAGUAUACCGAUUGACAAAGGGAAUUGUAUACGGGAUUGAUUGAAUCCCCGACAUCGUGGUUCAUCCGAUGAGAUCAUCGUGGAACAUGUGGGAGCCAACAUGGGUAUCCAGAUCCCGCUGUUGGUUAUUGACCGGAGAACGUCUCUGUCAUGUCUGCAUGGUUCCCGAACCCGUAGGGUCUACACACUUAAGGUUCGAUGACGCUAGGGUUAUAGGGAAUAGAUAUACGUGGUUACCGAAUGUUGUUCGGAGUCCCAGAUGAGAUCCUGGACAUCACGAGGAGUUCCGGAAUGGUCCGGAGGUAAAGAUUUAUAUAUGGGAAGUCCUGUUUUGGUCACCGGAAAAGUUUCGGGUGCUAUCGGUAACGUACCGGGACCACCGGGAGGGUCCCGGGGGUCCACCAGGUGGGGCCACCAGCCCCAGAGGCCUACAUGGGCCAAUAGUGGGAAGGGACCAGCCCCUAGGUGGGCUGGGGCGCCUCCCACCAAGGCCCAAGGCGCCCUCAAGAGGAGUGGGAGCAAACCCUAGGAGCAGAUGGGCCCUAAGGCCUACCCUAGGUGCGCCCCCCCCUCUCUCCCCCUUGGCCGCCACCCAGAUGGGAUCUGGGGGCUGCCGCCACCCCUGGGGAGGGAACCCUAGGUGGGGGCGCAGCCCCUCCUCUUCCCCUAUAUAUACUUGAGGUAUGGGGCUGCCCAACACAUGAUUUGCUCUCCCUCUUGGCGCAGCCCUACCUCCCUCCCUCCUCGUCUCUCGCAGUGCUUGGCGAAGCCCUGCUGGAGUACCGCGCUCCUCCACCACCACCACGCCGUCGUGCUGCUGCUGGACGGAGUCUUCCCCAACCUCUCCCUCUCUCCUUGCUGGAUCAAGGUGUGGGAGACGUCACCGGGCUGCACGUGUGUUGAACGCGGAGGCGCCAUGGUUCGGCGCUUAGAUCAGAAUCAACCGCGAUCUGAAUCGCUACGAGUACGACUCCUUCAUCCGCAUUCUUGCAACGCUUCCGCAUCGCGAUCUACAAGGGUAUGUAGAUGCACUCCCCUUCCCCUCGUUGCUAGAUUACUCCAUAGAUUGAUCUUGGUGAUGCGUAGAAAAUUUUGAAUUUCCGCUACGUUCCCCUACAAGAUGAACAGUAUCCCGUGGAGUCCCGUUUUGCGGUACGCCACACCCCUCCCGAUGAACAGGACCCCCGUUUCGACCGUAGGAGGUCCGUUUCGUCCGUUUUGCGGUACGCCACACCCCUCCCGAUCAACAGGACCCCCGUUUCGACCGUAGGAGGUCCGNNNNNNNNNNNNNNNNNNNNNNNNNNNNNNNNNNNNNNNNNNNNNNNNNNNNNNNNNNNNNNNNNNNNNNNNNNNNNNNNNNNNNNNNNNNNNNNNNNNNNNNNNNNNNNNNNNNNNNNNNNNNNNNNNNNNNNNNNNNNNNNNNNNNNNNNNNNNNNNNNNNNNNNNNNNNNNNNNNNNNNNNNNNNNNNNNNNNNNNNUACGCCACACCCCUCCCGAUCAAUAGGACCCCGUUUCGACCGUAGGAGGUCUGUUUCGUCCGUUUUGCGGUACGCCACACCCCUCCUGAUCAACAAGAACCCCGUUUCGACUGUAGGAAGUCCGUUUCCUCCGUUUUGCGGUAUGCCACACCCCUCCCGAUCAAUAGGACCCCGUUCUGAACGUAGGAGGUCCGUUUCCUCCGUUUUGCGAUACGCCAGGCCUCGUUUCCAUCGCCUAUUCCGUCCAAGCCCUCCCGAUGAACACGACCACGCAUUCCGUUCCGGCCCAGCCGGUUGGCUCCCACGCGUUUCGUUGCCUCCCGAUGAACACGACGCAUUCUGUUGCCUCCCCAUGAACACGACGCAUUCCGUUGCCUCCCCAUGAACACGACGCAUUCCGUUGCCUCCCCAUGAAUAUGAUGACGACGCUGUUUCUCCGUUCCGACCCAGCCAUGUACACGAGCCCUGGCCGUAUGUAUGCGCGAGUAGGCGUUCGAGACCCCACCCGUAUGUACACAUACGUGGCCGUAUUUUCUUUCUUGCACCCUGGCCGCUGUACGUACGUGUACAUGCUACGUGCGCGCCUCUACUAUGACACGUGCGUGCCUCUACUACGACACGUCGCGCCUCUACAUCGACCAGUAUGUACGUACAUGUUCGCGAGCAGAAUGACAACGCUACGUACGCUUCGACUAGGUGGGUCCCGACUGUCAGGCACUUCCUUGCCUACGAAGAUGUAGCUGGUGGGUCCCAGCACUCAGGGGGGCGAAUCGUUUUUUUUUUGCCCGGACGCACUUCCUUGCGUGCGAAGGUGUAGUUGGUGGGUCCCAGAAGUCAGGGGGCCGAAUCGUUUUUUUUUGCCCGGACGCACUUCCUUGCGUGCGAAGAUGAAGCUGGUGGGUCCCAGCAGUCAGGGGGAAAUGUUUUUUCCGCGAAAUACAGUGGCCCAUCCGGUGGGUCCCAGCUGUCAGGUGGAGGAAUCAUUAUUUUCCACGUAAUAAGGAGGCACUUCCUUGCUGCGGCCGUGGACCCAUUUGUCAGCCUCUCCACGUACAGUCCACGUCUGAUGGAAGUCGUUCCUUGACCACGUUGACCAGGCCGCGCCGAGAGCACCACGGUGGUGGACGACGGCGAGGCCUAGGAAGGGGACGACACGGAGCCGGGGAAGACGCGGCAGUGGAAGCCCGCACGGAGAGGACUACGAGGGUUCACUAGUUCGGCUGCGGUGUGAGGCUGCCGUCGCCGCAGGGCCUGGCCAGCGGUGGGAAUAGUAGGGGGCGGUGAGGCCUCCGCAGCAGCACAGCCGGCCACGGGAGGCAGGAGCAUGCGGCACGACCGGCGUUGCUUUGGGCGGCUGGAGCAAGAAGACCAGAGGUUGAAGAAGCUCUACGGCCGUUGGAUGGACAUCGUACGGUCACUGGAGCUAGAAUCGUUCAUAUUGACUAAGUUGACAAAGCCCUCCGUCCCCGUCAACUUAGUUGGCCCACAAGUCAUCGUCCCACUAUGAUGGGUCCCAGCUAGCAGGGGGUAUUCAUUUUUUUGUGCGUAAUAAGGAGGCACUUCCUUGCGUGCGAAGAUAUAGCUGGUGGGUCCGACAUGUCAGCAGGGGGAACGUUUUUUUCGCGAAAUACAGAGGCCCUUCCGGUGGGUCCCAGCUGUCAGGUGGAGGUAUCAUUAUUUUCCGCGUACAGUCCACGGCCGAUGGAUGUCGUUCGUUGACCAUGUUGACCAGGCCGCGCCGAGAGCACCAUGGCGGUUGACGACGGCGAGGCCUAGGAAAGGAACGACACGGAGCCGGGGAAGACUCGACAAUGGUUGCCCACGCGGUGGGGAGUACGAGAGUUUACUGGUCCGGCUGCCGUCGCCGGAAAAUAACAGGAGGUGUGGGUGAAUAGAGGAAUGGCCUGGCCAGCAAUGAAGUAGGGUGGGGCGGUGCGGCCUGUGCGGCAGCACAGCUGGCCACGGGUGACGGGAGCAGGCAGUCCCACCGGAGCUGUUUUGGGCGGCUGGAACAAGAAGAUCAGAUAUUGAAGAAGCAGCACGGCCGUUGGAUUAACAUCCAACGGUCACUGCUGCUAGAAUCGUUUGUGGACUAAGUUGACAAAGCCAAAGUACACGUCAACCUAGUAGACCCACAAGUCAGUCUCCAAAUCUGUCCCAAACAGCAUAUAGCCCGAAAUUUCUAGCCAGAUUCAAAUUAAUUUUAAAUCUAAAUAUACCUUAAUUUAAAUUCAAUGAAAUUUUGCCCGCACAAAAACAAUGAAAUUUAAAAUAUCAAAAUCCGAAAGAAAACAGUAUUUUGGAACUAAUUGCCUGUUUGCUGUAUUUUUUCAUUUUACAGCCCAUUUAUUAUUACUUAUAGCCCAUUUCUAAUUACUUAUAGCCCAUUUUCUGGGCAAAAUGCAUCCCUCCUCGUCUUGAAAGAUUUCCGGCCCAGCAGGGCAUAGAAAAGCAAGUAGGCCUACGUUGGUUAUUCUGCAAAAAACAAAAUAGCUGGCUAGCCAUUUUCAGAAAAGAAAAAAAUAAACUGGGCUGGUCAUGUGCUAAACAUAUGAAAUAAAAGCCUGGGCUAGACGGGCCACGGGUCCCGCACAACCCAGUUGAUACCCUUCUCCGUCCCGAAAAAACAAAAUUACUGCGCGCGCUGCUGGGUCCCUACUGUCAUCCUCACCAUGUACAGUCAUCUCCUUAUUCCUCUCGGUUGUUGACCAUGUUGACAACACCGGAGGGCGGCGCCGUGGCGAGCGAACCAAGGCGGAGGACGAUGGUGAGGCCUCGGACGGGAACGAACAGGAGCCGGGGAAGAUCACAGCCAGUCGUGGGAGGCGGGAGCAGGCGGUCCCGCCGGCGCUGGUUUGGCUUUGGCGGCUCGAGGAAGAAGAGACUGAAGAAACGCGACAGACGUUGAAUGUCAAUCCAAUGGUCAAGGUUGGCACAAUCGUUUGUUGACUAAGCGGACGCCAAGUAGCAUACUUUUUUAUAUAUAGGAAGAAAACUGCGAGGAAAAUGCGUUCGUCUGCCGUCUGAAGGAAAUAUGCCCUAGAGGCAAUAAUAAAGUUAUUAUUUAUUUCCUUAUAUCAUGUUAAAUGUUUAUUAUUCAUGCUAGAAUUGUAUUAACCGGAAACAUAAUACAUGUGUGAAUACAUAGACAAACAGAGUGUCACUAGUAUGCCUCUACUUCACUAGCUCGUUGAUCAAAGAUGGUUAUGUUUCCUAGCCAUAGACAUGAGUUGUCAUUUGAUUAACGGGAUAACAUCAUUAGGAGAAUGAUGUGAUUGACUUGACCCAUUCCGUUAGCUUAGCACUCGAUCGUUUAGUAUGUUGCUAUUGCUUUCUUCAUGACUUAUACAUGUUCCUAUGACUAUGAGAUUAUGCAACUCCCGUUUACCGGAGGAACACUUUGUGUGCUACCAAACAUCACAACGUAACUGGGUGAUUAUAAAUGUGCUCUACAGGUGUCUCCAAAGGUACUUGUUGGGUUGGCGUAUUUCGAGAUUAGGAUUUGUCACUCCGAUUGUCGGAGAGGUAUCUGUGGGCCCACUCAGUAAUACACAUCACUAUAAGCCUUGCAAGCAUUGUAACUAAUGAGUUAGUUGCGGGAUGAUGUAUUAUGAAACGAGUAAAGAGACUUGCCGGUAACGAGAUUGAACUAGGUAUCGAGAUACCGAUGAUCGAAUCUCGGGCAAGUAACAUACCGAUGACAAAGGGAACAACAUAUGUUGUUAUGCGGUCUGACCGAUAAAGAUCUUCGUAGAAUAUGUGGGAACCAAUAUGAGCAUCCAGGUUCCGCUAUUGGUUAUUGACCGGAGAGGUGUCUCGGUCAUGUCUACAUAGUUCUCGAACCCGUAGGGUCCGCACGCUUAACGUUACGAUGACAGUUAUAUUAUGAGUUUAUAUGUUUUGAUGUACCAAAGGUUGUUCGGAGUCCCGGAUGUGAUCACGGACAUGACGAGGAGUCUCGAAAUGGUCGAGACAUAAAGAUUGAUAUAUUGAAAGCCUAUGUUUGGACAUCGGAAGUGUUCCGGGUGAAAUCGAGAUUUUUCCGGAGUACUGGGAGGUUACCGGAACCCCCCGGUAACUUAAUGGGCCUUAGUGGGCCUAGGUGGAAGAGAGGAGAGGAGGCCAGGGCAGGCCGCGCGCCCCUCUCCCCCCAGUCCGAAUAGGACAAGGAGAGGGGGGCGGCGCCCCCCCUACCUUCCUCCCCUCCACCUCUUCCCCCUUUCUCUCCUAGUCCAAUAUGGAAAAGGGGGGAGUCCUACUCCUGGUAGGAGUAGGACUCCUCCUGGCGCGCCUCUCCUCUAGGCCGGCCGAACCCCCCUUUCUCCUUUAUAUACGGGGGCAGGGGGGCACCUCUAGAGACACAAUUGAUCAUUGAUCUCUUAGCCGUGUGCGGUGCCCCCCUCCACCAUAUUACACCUCGAUAAUAUCGUAGCGGUGCUUAGGCGAAGCCCUGCGUCGGUAGAACAUCAACAUUGUCACCACGCCGUCGUGCUGACGAAACUCUCCCUCAACACUCGGCUGGAUCGGAGUUCGAGGGACGUCAUCGAGCUGAACGUGUGCUGAACUCGGAGGUGCCGUGCGUUCGGUACUUGAUCGGUCGGAUUGUGAAGACGUACGACUACAUCAACCGUGUUGUGUUAAACGCUUCCGCUAUCGGUCUACGAGGGUACGUGGACAACACUCUCCCCUCUCGUUGCUAUGCAUCACCAUGAUCUUGCGUGUGCGUAGAAUUUUUUUUAAAUUACUACGUUUCCCAACAGUGGCAUCCGAGCCAGGUUUUAUGUGUUGAUGUUAUAUGCACGAGUAGAACACAAGUGAGUUGUGGGCGAUAUAAGUCAUACUGCUUACUAGCAUGUCAUAUUUUGGUUCAGCGGUAUUGUCAGAUGAAGCGGCCCGGACCAACAUUACGCGUACGCUUACGCGAGACUGGUUUCACCGUUGCGAGCACUCGUUGCUUAAAAGUGACUGGCGGGUGUCUGUCUCUCUCACUUUAGUUGAACCGAGUAUGGCUACGCCCGGUCCUUGCGAAGGUUAAAACAGCACCAACUUGACAAACUAUCGUUGUGGUUUUGAUGCGUAGGUAAGAACGGUUCUUGCUAAGCCCGUAGCAGCCACGUAAAACUUGCAACAACAAAGUAGAGGACGUCUAACUUGUUUUUGCAGGGCAUGUUGUGAUGUGAUAUGGUCAAGACGUGAUGCUAUAUUUUAUUGUAUGAGAUGAUCAUGUUUUGUAACCGAGUUAUCGGCAACUGGCAGGAGCCAUAUGGUUGUCGCUUUAUUGUAUGCAAUGCAAUCGCCAUGUAAUUGUUUUACUUUAUCACUAAGCGGUAGUGAUAGUCGUAAAAGAAAUAGUUGGCGAGACGACAACGAUGCUACGAUGGAGAUCAAGGUGUCGCGCCGGUGACGAUGGUGAUCAUGACGGUGCUUCGGAGAUGGAGAUCACAAGCACAAGAUGAUGAUGGCCAUAUCAUAUCACUUAUAUUGAUUGCAUGUGAUGUUUAUCUUUUAUGCAUCUUAUCUUGCUUUGAUUGAUGGUAGCAUUAUAAGAUGAUCUCUCACUAAAAUUUCAAGAUAAAAGUGUUCUCCCUGAGUAUGCACCGUUGCGAAAGUUCUUCGUGCUGAGACACCACGUGAUGAUCGGGUGUGGUAGGCUCUACGUUCAAAUACAACGGGUGCAAAACAGUUGCACACGCGGAAUACUCAGGUUAAACUUGACGAGCCUAGCAUAUGCAGAUAUGGCCUCGGAACACUGAGACCGAAAGGUCGAGCGUGAAUCCUAUAGUAGAUAUGAUCAACAUAGUGAUGUUCACCAUUGAAAACUACUCCAUUUCACGUGAUGAUCGGUUAUGGUUUAGUUGAUUUGGAUCACGUAAUCACUUAGAUGAUUAGAGGGAUGUCUAUCUAAGUGGGAGUUCUUAAAGUAAUAUGAUUAAUAGAACUUAAAUUUAUCAUGAACUUAGUACCUGAUAGUAUCUUGCUUGUCUAUGUUAAUUGUAGAUAGAUGGCCCGUGCUGUUGUUCCGUUGAAUUUUAAUGCGUUCCUUGAGAAAGCAAAGUUGAAAGAUGAUGGUAGCAAUUACACGGACUGGGUCCGUAACUUGAGGAUUAUCCUCAUUGCUGCACAGAAGAAUUAUGUCCUGGAAGCACCGCUGGGUGCUAGGCCUGCUGCAAGAGCAACACCAGAAGUUAUGAACGUCUGGAAGAGCAAAGGUGAUGACUACUCGAUAGUUCAGUGUGCCAUGCUUUACGGCUUAGAACUGGGUCUUCAACGACGUUUUGAACGUCAUGGAGCAUAUGAGAUGUUCCAGGAGUUGAAGUUAAUAUUUCAAGCAAAUGCCCGGAUUGAGAGAUAUGAAGUCUCCAAUAAGUUCUACAGCUGCAAGAUGGAAGAGAAUAGUUCUGUCAGUGAGCAUAUACUCAAAAUGUCUGGGUAUAAUAAUCACUUGAUUCAACUGGGAGUUAAUCUUCCGGAUGAUAGCGUCAUUGACAGAAUUCUUCAAUCACUGCCACCAAGCUACAAGAGCUUCGUGAUGAACUAUAACAUGCAAGGGAUGAAUAAGACAAUUCCCGAGCUCUUCGCAAUGCUAAAGGCAGCGGAGGUAGAAAUCAAAAAGGAGCAUCAAGUGUUGAUGGUCAAUAAGACCACUAGUUUCAAGAAACAGGGCAAAGGGAAGAAGAAGGGGAACUUCAAGAAGAACAGCAAGCAAGUUGUUGUUCUGGGAGUUAAUUGCACGUUGGUACCACACUUGCGCACCUACUCACGAAUCAGUACCACUACUCGUGCAUGUCGCAGUUCAGUACCAACUCAGGGCUUAAGUGGUGCAUAACGGACUGAAAGCCGUAUAAGCGCGUAUUGACCGCGUAUCCGACAGGUCGGGCCCACAUGUCAGGUGACACGCUGGCCGAAUCGGCGCGUGGACGGGUCGCUGACUAGGACGAGGCCGACGCGGUCGGUUAUACUCCAUGGGCUCGGUCGGUUACAUGGGCUCGGUCGGACUCGCCUCACUCUCGCUCGACGCUCGACCUCACUCUCACUCUGGCUCUCCCUCCUCUCUCCGAUUCGCCGCCGCCCGCCGCCUGCCUGCCGCCGCCGCCACCUCAACCGGCUCAUCGUCGCGCCAUGGAGGACGAGAGCAGUCAGGACUCAAGCGUGCAAUACAUGAACCUCUCCGACGACAAAGCCACGCAUUUCCGGGUGAGUUGUAGAGCUAGGGUUAGGGUUGGGUUAUCAGAUUUGGGAUUUGGGGGGAUUUGAUUUGAUUUGGGGAUUUUGUUUUCCUUUUGUUCCUGUAGAUCCCUGCUAGCAUUGAAGACCAAGACUACAGUGGCAUUGAGACAGCACCCAGAGUUCUUUGCCAUCAGCAUGGCGUGGCGGCUGAGAGGUGUGUAGCAAUCGAAGCAUUUAACACGGGCAGGAGGUUCUUAGUCUAUCCUAUGAGUGUAAGAUUCUGUCCAAACUCUGUGUUAAUUGUAUUGUUUAAUCUAGCCAUGUGCAUAGAAUUGUUCAGUCCAGAGCAUAGAAUUCAUGUUCUUUAAUCUAGCCAUGUGCUGAUGCACAUUGUUUAAUGAGUACUCUUGUAGUAUAGCUGUGAUGGUCAUUUUGUAGCUGUCAUGGUCAUUUUGUAGUUGUGUUUGGCCUGCCUGGACACACCACCACCAACCUGGAAUUGUAUUGUUUACUGGGUAGCUGUGAGGGUCAUUUUGUAGCCAUUUAGAACUACUGAUGCUAAUCAGUGGAUUAGAAAAUGUGUUGAUGCUUGCCAUGUAUAUUUAAUUUGGGCAGUAAUUUUAUAAUUGGUCAACAGCUUAGUUUGCAGUGCAGAUAAUCAUUGUUUAGCUCACAAGAGUACUCACUUUGCAAAGUUGUUUAGUGUCAAUGUCAUAAGCUCAAAAUUUAGAUAGUGUUUAGUGUCAGAGGUUCAUUCUUUAGUUGGCUAUAUUAUUAAAGUUGUUUCUCAAAGAUGCUUAAAGUUCAUUUUUUAAUUCAGUGGCUAGUCAUUUAGGGUCCUACAUUGUUUAAAGAUGCUCAAAGUUCAUUGUUUAAAGCUAGUUGCUCAAAGUUUAUUGCUUAAAUAAUUUACCUAGGAGAUUGAUUUUGCACAUGCUAUGGUUGUUUAUAUUGCAGGAAGAUGACAACUGUGGUAUUGUUCUCUGGGUUGACCCAGAGUGGCCUCCUACAUUGUAGAAUGCCUUGUUGAAGCUAUGGGAAAUGUAUCAUGACAGCAAGAGUGAUAGGAGGAAGGAUAACCUGGAGAGUUCACUCACUAUUCACAAUCUCACUGAAGAAAAAAAUAAUCUAGAGGCCAACUAUGAAAAAUUGGUUGAAGAUGUGCACCAACUGUUAAAUGCUCAAGAGGAUAGGAGGGUAGAUUUCAGCUAUUUGUAGGCUAAGAUGCAGAAUGUGCAUGUUUCUGAUUCAGUUGUAUCUGACAUGAAGACAGAGAUGGGGAAGAAAGAUGCAGAGAUCUUCAAGCUGCAGGAGAAGUAUAAAGUACUGAUGAACCUGACACAAUCUCAAGGCACUUGCAUCAGGAACCUGAAGUUUAAUCAUCUAAAAGAGAAGGAAGUGCUUAGUACAUCAACCAGGAACCUGCAAUUCCAGGUUGAUGAACUCAAAAAAUCUGAGGAAAAGCUCACCCAGGAUAACACCCAGCUGCUCCUUCACAUGGGAGAUCUCAAGAAGGGGCAUGACAAGCUCACAGCAAGGAGGGAUCAACUAAAGAUUCAGAUUGCUGAACUGUUGAAGUCAGAGGAGAAGAACAAGCAGAAAUUGAAGGGGAUCCUGGACAUCUUGUCAGAAUGAAGAGGUAGAGGAAGAGCAAGAGCAAGAUCCAGAUCAACAUGAAGAAGAAGAAUGCUGGCUUUGCUGACCUUUUGUGAAGUAUGGUGUUGUUGUGAACUAAGUUAUGUACUAUGGAUGUGUAGUUGUUGUGAACCACUAUGUUGUUGCUUUAGUUGUUGUGAACCACUAUGGUGUUGCUUUAGUUGUUGUGAACCACUAUGUUGUUGCUGUGAACCACUAUGUUAACUGUUAGUUGCUGUGAACCACUAUGUUAAUCAAUAUGUUGUUGUUGUGAACCAGUUUGUUGUGAACCAGUAUGUUAACUCUUAGUUGCUGCUUGUCUUAGUUGCUUGAACUCUUUUAUGAACCCCCAAAACCAAAGUUGCUUGAACUCUAAGGCAUUUAGGCUCCGUCGACGUCGAGAACCCCCUAAACCAAAGUUGCUUGAACUCUAAGGCAUUUAGGCUCCGUCGAUGUCGAGAACCCCCUAAACCAAAGUGGUUAGGCAUUUAGGCUCCGUCGACGUCGAGAACCCCCUAAAGCAAAGUGGUUAGGCAUUUAGGCUCCGUAGACGUCGAGAACCCCCUAAACCAAAGUGGUUAGGCAUUUAGNNNNNNNNNNNNNNNNNNNNAGUAUGUUAACUCUUAGUUGCUGCUUGUCUUAGUUGCUUGAACUCUUUUAUGAACCCCCUAAACCAAAGUUGCUUGAACUCUAUGGCAUUUAGUCUCCGUCGACGUCGAGAACCCCCUAAACCAAAGUGGUUAGGCAUUUAGUCUCCGUCGACGUCGAGAACCCCCUAAACCAAAGUGGUUAGGCAUUUAGGCUCCGUCGACGUCGAGAACCCCCUAAACCAAAGUGGUUAGGCAUUUAGGCUCCGUCGACGUCGAGAACCCCCUAAACCAAAGUGGUUAGGCAUUUAGUCUCCGUCGACGUCGAGAACCCCCUAAACCAAAGUGGUUAGGCAUUUAGUCUCCGUCGAUGUCGAGAACCCCCUAACAUUGCCAAUAACACUAAUCACCAAAUUGAUAGCAUAACAUUGCCCAUAACACUAAGAUAGUUGAUANNNNNNNNNNNNNNNNNNNNNNNNNNNNNNNNNNNNNNNNNNNNNNNNNNNNNNNNNNNNUUAGGCAUUUAGUCUCCGUCGACGUCGAGAACCCCCUAAACCAAAGUGGUUAGGCAUUUAGGCUCCGUCGACGUCGAGAACCCCCUAAACCUAAGUGGUUAGGCAUUUAGUCUCCGUCGACGUCGAGAACCCCCUAAACCAAAGUGGUUAGGCAUUUAGUCUCCGUCGACGUCGAGAACCCCCUAACAUUGCCAAUAACACUAAUCACCAAAUUGAUAGGAUAACAUUGCUCAUAACACUAAGAUAGUUGAUAGCAAUUCAAUACACUCAAACAUAAUCAUCCAACCAGUUUGACUUGUAGGUUCAGUACAAUCAAACCUAAGCGUCAAACCAUGGUUCAGGACACAAAACAUUGAUCAGUACCAUAGUUUUGAGAAACAACAACUCAUUACAACAUUCAUCUGUUACCACUAGGAGAAAACCAGGUCAUCCAACCAGUGUGACUUCUUGGGGAAGAAGAUGUAGAAGGAGUUGCAUAUCUUGGGGAAGUGAAUGGCCUUGCACCACUAGUUGAUGGUUGUGAACUUGCACCAGACCUUGCUCCAGAUCUUGCACCAGUCCUUGCACCAGACCUUGCUCCAGAGCUUGCACCAGUCCUUGCACCAGACCUUGCUCCAGAGCUUGCACCAGUCCUUGCAGGUGGAGGCUGUGAUCUUGGGGCAAGCUGGGAUCUUGCAGGUGGAGGCUGCUGCUGGGAUCUUGCAGGUGGAGGCUGCUGCUGUGAUCUUGCAGGUGGAGGCUGCUGCUGUGAUCUUGCAGGUGGGGGCUGUGAUCUUGCAGGUGUAGGUUGCUGCUGUGAUCUUGCAGGUGUAGGUUGCUGCUGUGACCUCUUGGUCUUGCAAAAAGGAGUGAGAUUGGUAUUAGUAGACAACAUUAAAAUAUUAACAAAUGCACUAGUCAACUAAUACAAAAGAAGUGAGAUUUGGUAUUACCACAUGCUUGUUUUUCCUCAUAGCCAAAUCUGGUUUCAAUUGUUUCAGGCAGUUGGUGUAUCUAUGGCCUUGGAGACCACAGUUAGAGCAUGUUAUUGUGGCCAUUCUACUGCUGUCCUUUGGCUUUGGCACUUCAAACUUGCCCUUGAUCCUCUUCUCUUGCUUUCUUCCUCUCCUAACAUGAAAUUCUGGUGGCUCUAUGUCUGGUCCAGGUGUCCUUAUCCAGUCAUGUUCACCAGGAACAGGAAAGAUCAUAGGUUCAUAUGCUGCCACAUAAAAUGGUUUUCUGAAGAAUUUACAAACAAAGUCCUCUGGAAACCUCUUGGCCUUGUUAAUUGCUGAAAUUGCAUGGUUGCAUGGUAGGCCACUGAGGUCCCAUUUUCUGCAACCACAUGUAUGAUUAUCCAAGUUCACAGGGUGUGUUUGCUGCCCACUGGUCACUUGCCAUAAAUUAACACCAGCUUGAAUGGGUUUGCAGUAUCUAGCCCUCUCCUUUUCCAGCUCUAGCUUCUCAGCAUAGUGUGGUGUGAUCUCCCAGAAAGCUGCCUUUCCUCUCUCUCUUUAAUCAUGCCACCUCACCAUUUGCUUGUCCUUAAUACCAUCAACCAUAGUCCUAAUAGGCUUUUUCCUAAAAUCAAGGAUAUACUUGUUGAACACCUCAGAUAGGUUGUUAACAACCAAAUCUGUCUUGCAGUUAGUGUCAAAGCAUGCCUUGCCCAUGUUUUCUUAGGAAUUGCAUUAAGCCAGAUCCAAGCAUCCUCACACUCAUUUCUCAAAUCAUUCAUAGCAAUAUUAAACUUAUAUUCAUUGUAAGCAUAACUGGCAUUAUCCAUGCAUUUCUUUAGAUCUUCCCCCCUAAAACGAGCAUUCUGGAAAUUUGCAUAUAAGUGUCUAAGACAAUAUCUCUGGUGGUAGUUUGGAAAUACUCUAUUCACUGCAUUGAGUAGCCCCUGUUGAAAUUACAACAGCAAACUAAGCUACUGACUACAGAUAUAGUUGAAAAAAACCCUAAGCAACUGAAAUCACACAGCAAACUAAGUACUUACCUUCUGUCUAUCUGACAUGAUAGUAUAAGGACCAAAUUGGCCAACUUCUCCUCCUAGACAUAUCUUGAGUUGGUGCAAAAACCAGCACCAAUUUGCUGUAUCCUCCUGACCAACAAUGGCAAAUGUAAUUGGAUAAAUGUUGUUAUUGCCAUCUCUGCCAGUGGCAGCAAGGAUCUGUGCACCUGUGGUCAGCUUAAUAAAGCAUCCAUCAACACCUGUUUUGCAAAAAAAAGAACCAAUUAAGUCAGUACAUAGCAAAGAAACUACAGCAAAGGUGUAAUCAUGUACAUAGCAAUGGACUAAAGCAAAGAAACAACUAACUAACCAAUGAAAGGUCUGCAUCCAUUGAGAAAUCCCUCCCUUGCUCCAUUUAAGCAGAAAAACAUUGCAUGAAACCUUGGCCCUGGAUGUGGUAUUUUUUUGGUUGCUUUAGGAACUAGAGUUGUAACUACAACCCUACUUCCAGGGUUUGUCUGCAUUAUGGUUGCUGCAUAGUCCCUUAACCUGGGAUACUGCUUCUUGUGCUCUCCCAAGACAGCUUCCACAGCUAAGUUUUUGGCCCUAUAGGCCAUGUGCUUAGGAACCUCAACACCAUACUUCUCAUUGCAGGCAUCAAUCAGAGUUUGUAUGCUAGUGGUUGGAUCAGACCUGAACAAUGACUCAUAUGUCUUUGCAAGCCACUUUGCACUAACCCUGGAAGACUCUGUAGUGGUAGGGCAAGUGUGCUCCAGGUUCAUUUUUUUAUAGCAAAAGUCUUUUCACCUUUGAUCACAGCAGCAACAAUGUGGAACUGACAGUGCUCAUUUCUGCAACAUGCAAUUAUCCUUUGGUCAGAGUUUCUAUGAUAUCUAAAAUCUCUUGCCUGUGAAAUGUGCAAGCUCAACAGAGCAUCUCUGAAUUGCUGCUGAUUUGUGAAGCACAUGUACUUACAUAAUUGCAUGUGUGGGUGCUCCAUUUUUUCAUUGAACCAUAUCCUAGGUUUUCUUUUCUGUGCCCUACUCUUCUUGCUUUUCUUUAGCACAAAUUGCAGUGGCUCAUGCCCAUCAUCUUCACUAUCCAUCAGCCAACCAAUUUCUUCUUCAUCUGAUGAAGGAAUGAAAUCUUUCUUCACCUCCUUUAAAACACUAGAAUGUGUUCUAGUGGUGGGGCACCUCCUAAUUGGCAGCUUCUGUCUCUUCUUUGGAGGUUCUACCUGCAAAGGUUGAGCUAACUCCACAUUCAAGCUCUCCUCCCUCUCUUCAUCCCCACUCUCUUCCUCCUCCUUCUCAAACAGAUCCUCAACCUCAGUGUCACCCUCAUAAUGCAGUUGUUCCUCCUCUUCUGACUCAUCAUCUGAAUAUUCAUCUUGAUCAUCUGCCAGUUGUUCCUCAUCUGCUUGUCUCUUUCCAUCUAUUAUCUCUGUGUCUUGAGAAAUCAUGUACUUCUCCAAGUAGUUGUCACUGUCAUAUGCCCCUUCUGGAUUAUCACUACUGUAAUAUCCCUCCUCCAACAAAACUUCAUCCUCCAGCACAGAAUUCAGCUUUUGUUUACCUAGAUUUUUGCUCUCUUGUGUGCAAAAACCACUAGCUUCAACAUUGGUACUACUACUGCACUGACUAUUAAAAACAACCCCUUGGUCAUCAACAGCAAGCACAGCUGGCUCACUGAAAUCAUACACAACUGGUGGUGCAUAAAGAAUGGUCUGUAAUUCAGCAUUUCUCUGAAUUGCAACACUGUCAGUGGUUGUUGCUCUAACUAACAGAUUCAAAACUAAAGUAUGCUCAUGCUGCUUCUUAAUUUGCUGCAAUUUAAUGUUUGUGUCAAUCAAGUCUAGGCCAUGCUCUCUCUGCUCUCCUAUGCAUGUGUUCUCCAUGUGAUACAAUUCAUCAGAGAAUGUAAAUCCUUGUGUAUGCAACAGUGCAUACAGAUUGAGAAAAGUGACAUCAGAACUGCAUAUCUUCCUAUCCAAAUUAUGUAGGGCAUCAAAGUGAAUCCUAACAUCCCAGAUAGCCUCCUCCGCACUACAAGUGCCAGCAAAUUUGGACAUUUUCAUUAACACUAACCGUAGCCCCAAAUUGGAAGAAAGAACAGAGGAGAGGGAGGAGGACUUACAGCACCCCACCACAUCCAUGGGUCCAGUGAUGGCUCGUGAAAGGGUUGGCGACCCAGAUCUCUGCCAUCCGCAGGCGCUGCUCCAUGGUCAGCGGGGCCUCCUCCAUUUCUUCCUCGCCGCUCGAGUAGUACGACGAACUGUCGCCGUCGCCCUCGGCCAAUCCUGGGUGCGCAUCGGCCCCGAGGCCAGGAAGAUCUCCGUACCCGCCCACACCACCACCGCUGCUCGAGCCGCCGCCUACACCGCCGCCGCCCGGGUUCGCCGUCGCCAUUGACACAGAGGAGCACGGGGAGGAGAGGGAGAGGGGAACGAGAGUUAGCGUUCGAACCGGCGGCUCGGUUCGACCUAGCCCGUUAGGUCGGCCUCGUCCUAGUCAGCGACCCGUCCACGCGCCGAUUCGGCCAGCGUGUCACCUGACAUGUGGGCCCGACCUGUCGGAUACGCGGUCAAUACGCGCUUAUACGGCUUUCAGUCCGUUAUGCACCACUUAAGCCCUGAGUUGGUACUGAACUGCGACAUGCACGAGUAGUGGUACUGAUUCGUGAGUAGGUGCGCAAGUGUGGUACCAACGUGCAAUUAACUCAUGUUCAGGAGAAGAAACCCAAGUCUGGACCUAAGCCUGAGACUGAGUGCUUCUACUGCAAGCAGACUGGUCACUGGAAGCGGAACUGCCCCAAGUAUUUGGCGGAUAAGAAGGAUGGCAAGGUGAACAAAGGUAUAUGUGAUAUACAUGUUAUUGAUGUGUACCUUACUAAUGCUCGCAGUAGCACCUGGGUAUUUGAUACUGGUUCUGUUGCUAAUAUUUGCAACUCGAAACAGGGGCUACGGAUUAAGCGAAGAUUGGUUAAGGACGAGGUGACGAUGCGCGUGGGAAAUGGUUCCAAAGUCGAUGUGAUCGCCGUCGGCACGCUACCUCUACAUCUACCUUCGGGAUUAGUAUUAGACCUAAAUAAUUGUUAUUUGGUGCCAGCGUUGAGCAUGAACAUUAUGUCUGGAUCUUGUUUGAUGCGAGACGGUUAUUCAUUUAAAUCAGAGAAUAAUGGUUGUUCUAUUUAUAUGAGUAAUAUCUUUUAUGGUCAUGCACCCUUGAAGAGUGGUCUAUUUUUAAUGAAUCUCGGUAGUAGUGACACACAUAUUCAUAAUGUAAAAGUCAAAAGAUGCAGAGUUGAUAAUGAAAGUGCAACUUAUUUGUGGCACUGCCGUUUAGGUCAUCUCGGUGUAAAGCGCAUGAAGAAACUCCAUAAUGAUGGACUUUUGGAAUCACUUGAUUAUGAAUCACUUGGUACUUGCGAACCGUGUCUCAUGGGCAAGAUGACUAAAACACCGUUCUCCGGUACUAUGGAGAAAGAAACUAAUUUGUUGGAAAUCAUACAUACAGAUGUAUGUGGUCCGAUGAAUAUUGAGGCUCGUGGCGGAUAUCGUUAUUUUCUCACCUUCACAGAUGAUUUGAGCAGAUAUGGGGUAUAUCUACUUAAUGAAACAUAAGUCUGAAACAUUUGAAAAGUUCAAAGAAUUUCAGAGCGAAGUUGAAAAUCAUCGUAACAAGAAAAUAAAGUUUCUACGAUCAGAUUGUGGAGGAGAAUAUUUGAGUUACGAGUUUGGCCUACAUUUGAAACAAUGCAGAAUAGUUUCGCAACUCACGCCACCUGGAACACCACAACGUAAUGGUGUGUCUGAACGUCGUAAUCGUACUUUACUAGAUAUGGUGCGAUCUAUGAUGUCUCUUACUGAUUUACCGCCAUCGUUUUGGGGUUAUGCUUUAGAGACGGCUGCAUUCACUCUAAAUAGGACACCAUCGAAAUCCGUUGAGACGACGCCUUAUGAACUAUGGUUUGGCAAGAAACCAAAGUUGUCGUAUCUUAAAGUUUGGGGUUGCGAUGCUUAUGUGAAGAAACUUCAACCUGAUAAGCUCGAACCUAAAUCGGAGAAAUGUGUCUUCAUAGGAUACCCAAAGGACACUGUUGGGUACACCUUCUAUCACAGAUCCGAAGGCAAGACAUUCGUUGCUAAGAAUGGAUCCUUUCUAGAGAAGGAGUUUCUCUCGAAAGAAGUGAGUGGGAGGAAAGUAGAACUUGAUGAGGUAACUGUACCUGCUCCCUUAUUGGAAAGUAGAUCAUCACAGAAACCAGUUUCUGCGACACCUACACCAAUUAGUGAGGAAGUUAAUGAUAAUGAUCAUGAAACUUCAGAUCAAGUUAUUACUGAACCUCGUAGGUCAACCAGAUUAAGAUCCGCACCAGAGUGGUACGGUAAUCCUGUUCUGGAGGUUAUGUUGCUAGACCAUGACGAACCUACGAACUAUGAAGAAGCGAUGGUGAGCCCAGAUUCCGCAAAAUGGCUUGAGGCCAUGAAAUCCGAGAUGGGAUCCAUGUAUGAGAACAAAGUAUGGACUUUGGUUGACUUGCCCGAUGAUCGGCAAGCCAUUGAAAAUAAAUGGAUCUUCAAGAAGAAGACUGAUGCUAACGGUAAUGUUACUAUCUAUAAAGCUCGACUUGUUGCAAAAGGUUUUCGACAAGUUCAAGGGAUUGACUACGAUGAGACCUUCUCACCCGUAGCGAUUCUUAAGUCUGUCCGAAUCAUGUUAGCAAUUGCCGCAUUUUAUGAUUAUGAAAUUUGGCAAAUGGAUGUCAAAACUGCAUUCCUGAAUGGAUUUCAAGAAGAAGAGUUGUAUAUGAUGCAACCGGAAGGUUUUGUCGAUCCAAAGGGAGCUAGCAAAGUGUGCAAGCUCCAGCGAUCCAUUUAUGGACUGGUGCAAGCCUCUCGGAGUUGGAAUAAACGCUUUGAUAGUGUGAUCAAAGCAUUUGGUUUUAUACAGACUUUUGGAGAAGCCUGUAUUUACAAGAAAGUGAGUGGGAGCUCAGUAGCAUUUCUAAUAUUAUAUGUGGAUGACAUAUUGCUGAUUGGAAAUGAUAUAGAAUUUCUGGAUAGCAUAAAGGGAUACUUGAAUAAGAGUUUUUCAAUGAAAGACCUCGGUGAAGCUGCAUAUAUAUUGGGCAUCAAGAUCUAUAGAGAUAGAUCAAGACGCUUAAUUGGACUUUCACAAAGCACAUACCUUGACAAAGUUUUGAAGAAGUUCAAAAUGGAUCAAGCAAAGAAAGGGUUCUUGCCUGUAUUACAAGGUGUGAGAUUGAGUAAGACUCAAUGCCCGACCACUGCAGAAGAUAGAGAGAAGAUGAAAGAUGUUCCCUAUGCUUCAGCCAUAGGCUCUAUCAUGUAUGCAAUGCUGUGUACCAGACCUGAUGUGUGCCUUGCUAUAAGUUUAGCAGGGAGGUACCAAAGUAAUCCAGGAGUGGAUCACUGGACAGCGGUCAAGAACAUCCUGAAAUACCUGAAAAGGACUAAGGAUAUGUUUCUCGUUUAUGGAGGUGACAAAGAGCUCAUCGUAAAUGGUUACGUUGAUGCAAGCUUUGACACUGAUCCUGACGAUUCUAAAUCGCAAACCGGAUACGUGUUUACAUUGAACGGUGGAGCUGUCAGUUGGUGCAGUUCUAAGCAGAGUGUCGUGGCAGGAUCUACGUGUGAAGCGGAGUACAUAGCUGCUUCAGAAGCAACAAAUGAAGGAGUCCAGAUGAAGGAGUUCAUAUCCGAUCUAGGUGUCAUACCUAGUGCAUCGGGACCAAUGAAAAUCUUUUGUGACAAUACUGGUGCAAUUGCCUUAGCAAAGGAAUCCAGAUUUCACAAGAGAACCAAGCACAUCAAAAGACGCUUCAAUUCCAUUCGGGAUUUAGUCCAGGUGGGAGACAUAGAAAUUUGCAAGAUACAUACGGAUCUGAAUGUUGCAGACCCGUUGACUAAGCCUCUUCCACGAGCAAAACAUGGUCAGCACCAAGACUCCAUGGGUGUAAGAAUCAUUACUGUGUAAUCUAGAUUAUUGACUCUAGUGCAAGUGGGAGACUGAAGAAAAUAUGCCCUAGAGGCAAUAAUAAAGUUAUUAUUUAUUUCCUUAUAUCAUGAUAAAUGUUUAUUAUUCAUGCUAGAAUUGUAUUAACCGGAAACAUAAUACAUGUGUGAAUACAUAGACAAACAGAGUGUCACUAGUAUGCCUCUACUUGACUAGCUCGUUGAUCAAAGAUGGUUAUGUUUCCUAGCCAUAGACAUGAGUUCUCAUUUGAUUAACGGGAUCACAUCAUUAGGAGAAUGAUGUGAUUGACUUGACCCAUUCCGUUAGCUUAGCACUCGAUCGUUUAGCAUGUUGCUAUUGCUUUCUUCAUGACUUAUACAUGUUCCUAUGACUAUGAGAUUAUGCAACUCCCGUUUACCGGAGGAACACUUUGUGUGCUACCAAACAUCACAACGUAACUGGGUGAUUAUAAAGGUGCUCUACAGGUGUCUCCAAAGGUACUUGUUGGGUUGGCGUAUUUCGAGAUUAGGAUUUGUCACUCCGAUUGUCGGAGAGGUAUCUCUGGGCCCACUCAGUAAUACACAUCACUAUAAGCCUUGCAAGCAUUGUAACUAAUGAGUUAGUUGCGGGAUGAUGUAUUAUGAAACGAGUAAAGAGACUUGCCGGUAACGAGAUUGAACUAGGUAUCGAGAUACCGACGAUCGAAUCUCGGGCAAGUAACAUACCGAUGACAAAGGGAACAACAUAUGUUGUUAUGCGGUCUGACCGAUAAAGAUCUUCGUAGAAUAUGUGGGAACCAAUAUGAGCAACCAGGUUCCGCUAUUGGUUAUUGACCGGAGAGGUGUCUCGGUCAUGUCUACAUAGUUCUCGAACCCGUAGGGUCCGCACGCUUAACGUUACGAUGACAGUUAUAUUAUGAGUUUAUAUGUUUUGAUGUACCAAAGGUUGUUCGGAGUCCCGGAUGUGAUCACGGACAUGACGAGGAGUCUCGAAAUGGUCGAGACAUAAAGAUUGAUAUAUUGGAAGCCUAUGUUUGGACAUCGGAAGUGUUCCGGGUGAAAUCGAGAUUUUUCCGGAGUACCGGGAGGUUACCGGAACCCCCCGGUAACUUAAUGGGCCUUAGUGGGCCUAGGUGGAAGAGAGGAGAGGAGGCCAGGGCAGGCCGCGCGCCCCUCUCCCCCCAGUCCGAAUAGGACAAGGAGAGGGGGGCGGCGCCCCCCCCCCUUCCUUCCUCCCCUCCACCUCUUCCCCCUUUCUCUCCUAGUCCAAUAUGGAAAAGGGGGGAGUCCUACUCCCGGUAGGAGUAGGACUCCUCCUGGCGCGCCUCUCCUCUAGGCCGGCCGAACCCCCCUUGCUCCUUUAUAUACGGGGGCAGGGGCGCACCUCUAGAGACACAAUUGAUCAUUGAUCUCUUAGCCGUGUGCGGUGCCCCCCUCCACCAUAUUACACCUCGAUAAUAUCGUAGCGGUGCUUAGGCGAAGCCCUGCAUCGGUAGAACAUCAACAUUGUCACCACGCCGCCGUGCUGACGAAACUCUCCCUCAACACUCGGCUGGAUCGGAGUUCGAGGGACGUCAUCGAGCUGAACGUGUGCUGAACUCGGAGGUGCCGUGCGUUCGGUACUUGAUCGGUCGGAUUGUGAAGACGUACGACUACGUCAACCGCGUUGUGUUAAACGCUUCCGCUAUCGGUCUACGAGGGUACGUGGACAACACUCUCCCCUCUCGUUGCUAUGCAUCACCAUGAUCUUGCAUGUGCGUAGAAUUUUUUUGAAAUUACUACGUUUCCCAACACCGUCCUCCUCACAGGGAACGUUCGCCACAUAAGUGACUAGCGCCCUUGGUUUUCAACCGAGAGGUCUUGGGUUCGAGUCCCAGGAACUCUCAAUUUUGUCCUCCUUCCUCACAAAAAAAAGGGAAAGAAAAUCAAAGACUUGGGAAGGCGUACAGAACAAGCUAGUGUACUAGUAAAGAGACAUUGCCGAGUUUUAGAAAAAAGAAAGACGUGCUCCUGUAGCUGGUUCGAAUCCAAACCUAGACUAUGAUUAUAUAUGGUGCUAUGCUACUCUGCAAGUAAUGAAACUGACAUAUCCAACGUUCGCUUCUCCUCUUCUCUACUUACUCUGCCUAGCAUUAGAAGCUCUGGCUGCAGCAACCAUGUCCGCUGGCCGCUCGUCCACCUGCUCUUCAGCAGGCAACAACCAGAUAUGCGCCAAGUCGCCACCCGUACCAUCGCCUGUGGGUCUCAUCACACCCCCGCCGGCACGCGUACCGCAGCCUAUUGCUCAUCGCAACCCGCUGCCGUUGGUGUGGUGCCACUGCUGCAAAUCACGCAGAGUCAUCCGUCGCGUCCCAACCACAAUCCGCAACCCUAGCCGAGUCUUCUACAAAUGCCCGAAUCAUGGGGUAAUAAUAUGUUUAAGUCUUGUUCUGCUGCUUUUAGUUGCUGUUUUUUAAUAGUUUGGUUGAUGAUCUUCCAAUUUGAUUCGUGCAGAAAAGGGAAGAUUCGUGUGAUUUGUAUUUCUGGGAAGUUGCCGAUGUGGGGGAAUGCAACUACGCUGAUUAUUUGGUUAGCCGAGGAAUCCCAAUACCAGCAGGUUGGGGUGUUGGACAAGUAACUGAAGGAACGGCAGAAGAGGAAGAUGCAGAGCAGAAGGUUAAAGAUGCAGUUCCUCUGAUCAUGGCCAAGCAACAGCUGCUGAAGGGCCUUGACAGCAAUGAGGAGAUGAAAGAGCUUGUGAAGAUAAUGGGCAAAAUCGAUGUGCUCUGUAGGAUGAUUGUCUCUUUAUUUGCAAUGUAUGUAGCACUCGUGAUGUAUUCAGUGGCUACGACAUGAGCACUUUGCUGAAACUAGUAAUGAAUGAAACCUGUGUAGUAGGCUGGGCGUAGUGUUGUGAACAUCUAAUGAUUUCUAUUAACGGAAAUCAGGGGGUAUCCCCUUUUGCUCAUAUAAAUAAAUAAAUAGCAGAGGCCCUGUCGGGUCAGCUUUGUUCUCAUUCGAAGACGUCGAGCAAAUUGCAGUCCAACAGCAAACUAUGUCAUCAAAUUCAAGUUUCACAGCCAAAUAUGAGUACAACUAAACAACAACGUCAUCAUGUUUUAGUUGUCAUACAAUCACCAAACACAAAUCAGCAUACAUAACAAGUGAUGUUCUCACAGCAAAAUACUAAACAACAUGUUCAUCAGGUUUCAGUUGUCAUAGCAAACACAAUUUCACAUAGUAGAUAAAAAAACGUCUUUUGACAGGCAAAUACGACAAAAGCAAUGUAAUCAUCAUCCGCAGUAGCAGCGUCAACAUCUUCGCCAUGUGUAUAAGUCUGAAUUGUAAUUCCCCAUGGUGUCAUCUUCUUCUUCGUCCUCAACGUCCUCGAACGUUGGCUUCUUCUUGAUCAACUCUUGUAUGUCCACAGCACGACAGGCAAUCUUUUCACCGGCGUCAUUGAUGUGAUGGUUCUCAAAGAUAUAGGAACAUCUGUGUUAUCUUGUACAUCAGGAGCAGUGUAAGCAUCAUCUUGUUGUGCAACUUCAUUAAACGAAUUCCUCUGCUCAAACCUUUGCAAUACUCUCCAGUCAUCGCUACGUGCAAAUGUGUCUUCCAAGAAAAAUAUCUGUGUUGCUUGAUUUGCCAAAAUAAAAGGCUCGUUGGUCUGGUACGCCGCCUUGACAUUGAUGGAUUUGAAAUAAUCAUCAGCUCUGGGUUUUGCGAUCCUGGAAAACAGGUUAUACCAACGACAACACAACAGAACCACACACCAAUGAUCCUCGAAACUGGAGAUAUACUGCAACUGAACAAUGUCUGUUAUGUUAGCAUACAUUUCAGUUGUCUCUUUGCCAUACGUAUCCGUGCUCAUGAUGGCACUAUUUUGUGUCUUCCUGCCUUCGUCUCGUGCAAGGGUGUUGUAGCGCACAUCUGCAACAACGCAAGAUUCAUAAUGUCUUACCCGAGUAUCAGGACCCAUUGCUAGUGAGUAAAGGGCAGCAUCAACUGCCUGCCCAUCCACCCGCAUCUUCUUAACCUAUGGUUAGAAAAUAGACAAGCUGAUCAUCUUAUGUACUCAAUAUAUUAAAAAAACUGACAGUGCACUUCGAAAGCUUACAUGGUUCUUGAACCAUUUCGCAAAUCCUGCCAUAACCAGUUUGUCAAUGUUUCUUGGAUUUUGCAGCAGUAACUCCUCUUUGUAGAUGUUGCACAACAUAGUGAUCGCGUCAAACAUCUAAAUAUAUAAGAAUGUGCUGCAAGUUUAGUAGAUUACGAUGUAUAAGCUGCAGUACUGCACUUACUUGAUAUAAGGUAGUAUCUCAGGACAGUUAUUCAACACAUACCAAACCAUUUUGUCCAAAUCUUUAGGUAUGUCCUCUUGUCGACUCUUCCCUGUAACUCGAACAGAAUAAUCGAAAACAUUGAGCCCAGGAUUGUCUUCACCCACCUCUUUGCUAAGCUGAUCAGCUGUUUCAAUGUAUUUUGAGCAAAAUGUCAACGCUUCUGUAGCAAUGUAGGCCUCUGCAAUGGAACCCUCGAGUCUAGCUCUGUUCCUAACAUAGCCCUUGAAACUGCCUAGCCGCCUUUCAAUAGGGUACAUCCAGCCAUACUGUACUGGACCUCUAAGUAGUGCCUCAUCAGGUAGAUGAACAGCCAAAUGCACCAUCACAUCAAAGAAGGCUGGAGGAUAUAUCUUCUCAAGGUCGCAUAGGAUAGUUGGUAUCUUGUCUCUAAGACGCUCCAAAGCAUCUAUCCUGAUAUUCCUACUGCAGAGUUCCCUGAAGAAUUGUCCCAACUCUGCAACUGCUCUGUAUAAGUCAGGGCGGCCCAAUCCUCUAAGGAUAACAGGUAAAACCCUUUGAAGUAGGACGUGGCAGUCAUGAGUUUUCAACCCUUGUACCUAGUUUCCAUCUGCACUGACUCUCCUUUCAGGGUUGGAAGCAAAUCCAUGUGGGAAUCUCACACGUGACAGGACCUCGCAGAAUUCUUUUCUUUUUACCUUGUCCAAGACGUACACAGCUGGUGCCAUAUCACGUGGUUUACCUUCAUCUUGCACCUGCAAAUCCUUUCUGAUACCCAGGUCUGUCAAAUCAAUCCUAGAUUUAAGGUAUCUUUCGUCUUGCCUUCAAUAUUAAGAAGUGUGCCGAUAAUGCCGUCACAUAUAUUUUUCUCGAUGUGCAUCACAUCAAGAUUAUGCCGCAGAUCCAAAUCUUUCCAAUACUCCAAGUCCCACAAAGUGGACCUGCGGGUAAACAAUAAUCUCUCUUCCACCCUGCCACGCUUCCUUUUCCCGCUACCAUUACCAGGAUGGUUUCCUGGUAUAAUAUGCCUGACCUUCUCUAAUUCCACUUGCAACUCACACUACUAGGAAAAGGGCUAUAGAUAAUAUGGACACUAAUGGCGCACCACAUCCACGGUGCGCCACUACUAACAAAUUUUUUUUAUUUUUUUUUCAAAACUAGUAAUGGCGCACCAGGGGAUAGUGCGCCAUUACUAGUUUAACUAGUAAUGGCGCACCACACCCUGGGUGCGCCACUACUAACAAUUUUUUUUCAAAACUAGUAAUGGCACACCAGGGACAGUAACUAGUAAUUCCACCGAAUGCACCCCCCCUGGACUGCCUUUUCAGUUUUAGAAAAAAUAAAAGAAAAUGAUGGAAAUGUCAAAAAAAAAAAAAUAAGUUUCCCAUGUGAUAUGUGGUCUAGUUGUUGGGAAAAUUUACAAAUAUGAAUUUUGACUUUAUUUGCAAAAUCUCUCUGGAAUUUGUAAAAUGGGCAUAACUUUUGCAUACGAACUCGGAUUAAAAAGUUUUAUAUAUGAAAAAUCAUCUACUCGAAAAGUUAACAGAACGAAAGAUACGGGGCUUUUAAGAUCUAGAGGGGGGAAAAUGAAAAAAAAUUCAAACUUACUAGUGGCGCACCAUUUGCUAGGUGCGCCACUAGUAACAGAAAAAAAAAUUGGUUUCAAAAAAACUUUUUUUUGAAUUUUUUUUUUCAAAAUAUGAUACGUAAUAUGACCGGGAAGUUUGAAAUAUUUUUUGGAAGUUUGAAACAUGGACCAACACUCAUGAACAUGAACAUGAACAAAGUCCUAGACAUCAACAAGGUUUAAUAGGAUUGAUAUGCUAGAUAUAUCAACAAGUGCCUGUGAAGUGAGCUGGUGCUGGGGUUGGAUAGAACUCUGAAGUUAAGCGUGCUUGGGCUGGAGUAGUGUGAGGAUGGGUGACCUUUUGGGAAGUUUGAGCACGGAGUGCGAUUUGACUUCAGAUUAAGCAUAUUGACCCGAGAUUAACAAAAAAACGAAAAAAAAUUUAAAAAAAUUUAAAAAAAAAUGUUAGUAAUGGCGCACUUCUAUGUGGUGCGCCAUUACUAAGUCAGAUAGUAAUGGCGCACCGUGUGAUGUACUAAUGGCGCACCUGUGGUGCGCCAUUAGUAAACAAUUCUAAUGGCGUGAUGCUAGUGGCGCACCUGUAGUGUGCCAUUAGUAGGCAAAACAGGCGCGCCACUAGCAGGCCUUUUCCUAGUAGUGUCAUCGGCGGUGAGCCUCUUUGGCGCAUCACGGUUUUUAUGCUUUGCAUUGAACACAUGUCUUCGGUAUUUUCUAGGAUGCGGCUUGUCCUUGGCAAGGAAAUGGCGGUGUCCAAUGUAACAGAUCUUGCUAAGUAUUGCGUAUGACAGCGGAUUCCUGUCACAGCGAACACAUCCAUUGUAACCAUGUGUCGUUCGCCCUGACAUAGUGCCCAAAGCCGGAUAAUCAUGGAUGCACCAAAUUAUAACAGCACGCAGAAAAAAUCAGCUGGUGGGCUGCUAUAUAGGUCUCGAGUGAGAACACCCUUCCAUAGCUGUUGAAGUUCCUCCACAAGAGGCUCCAAGAACAAAUCAAAAUCCUUUCCAGGACUUUUUGGACCUGGAAUGAGCAAGGCCAUCAUGUAGUUUGAUUCUUUGGUGCAGAUAUUUGGAGGCAUGUUGUAAGGGAUAACAAGCACUGGCCACAUGCUAUAUGUGGCGCUCUGGUGGCCAAAUGGGUUAAAUCCAUCUGAAGCUAAGCCAAGUCUAAUGUUUCUCGGGUCAGCAGCAAACUCUUUGUGUUUAUCAUUGAAGCUUUUCCACUCACUACCAUGAGAUGGAUGGCUCAUUACAUUCUAAUCUCUGUACUCCUGGUUCCUAGAAUGCCACAGUACAUCCUCUCUUAUUUCAGCAUCAUGAAACAACCUCUGCAAUCUUGGUGUAAUUGGAAAAUGUCUCAGAACAUUAUGAGGAAUCCUCUUCACAGCAUCGCCAUCUUUCCAUCUUGAUGAUUUGCAUUUCGGGCAUUCACUUAAGUUGGCAUAAUCCUUCCGGAACAGAACACAAUUAUUCUUACAAACAUGGAUCAUAUCAUAUCCAAUUCCAACUGCACGAAGGAUUCUUCAUUUUACUGUAGGUGUGUGGCAGCUCAAAUGCAUCUGGGAAAGAUUUGCGGAAAGCAGCCAACAUCGCAUCGAAUGAUUUGUUGGGCAUCCGCUCAGAUGUCUUCACCAGAAGAAAGGUGACCAUAGCUGAGAAUACUGACAUCUUAUUUCCUAGGGUGACAGCAACGUUGCAUUGUUCCAACAUGCGGGCCCACCGUUUUUCUUCUGCAGGUGAAAGUUCACGGAAUGCACGAGCAUUUCGUAGAAUUUUUUCAAUGUUGGUCAAACUCACUGGCUCGGCCACCACCACCUCCUCCUCCUCUUCCACCUGAGCAUCAGGCAGAUCAACGUUGGAGAUGCCCUUUGCUCACAUGCGAUCCCCGCAUGUCAUUGAAAAAGCAAGACGGCCCGGCAUGGUCUCAGGUCCAGAGGAUGCAGUUGGCCACGCUACACCACUCCGCGGACGCAUCGCGGCGCCCCGUGCAUCCUCGAUGAGCCGGGUGUUGGGGUGUGUUUGGAUUGUGGCCAAAGUGCACCUUACCAAAAUUUUGGUCAUGACCCAAAGAUUGGUCUUUGUUUGGAUGGUUGCCAUUUUUUGGCAUGCCAAUGAACUCUAGCCAACUCUAGUUCAUUUUUCUUGCCAAUGUCGGCCAAAUCAUGGGCAACCAAUACCUCAACCAAAAUUUUGGUCAUGACCCAAAGAUUGGUCUUUGUUUGGAUGGUUGCCAUUUCUUUGGCAUGCCAAUGAACUCUAGCCAACUCUAGUUCAUUUUUCUUGCCAAUGUCGGCCAAAUCAUGGGCAACCAAUAUCUCAACCAAAAUUUUGGCUACCCAAUGCUUUGAUGGGGCAACCUUGGGCACAAACCAAACAUACCGUUGGUCGUGCCACAGCACUAACGCCACCCUCGGCACACUGAAACCGACCCUGUCUAGCGACGAUAUGAGCGUGUCGCUCACCGCGGUCGCCCUGUCCAGAGGCGGUGCUGGAGCUGCGCCCCGUUGUUGGCCCCAACGACCCACAUGAACGGUUGUCGGUGGCGAGGAGGUCGUGGGCCAGCUCCUCCAUUGGACUAGUAUGCGCUACAUCGUCCCGACGGGUGUGCCCCACAUGUCGGUUUCCCUAUUUUCCCGGCCAUAUUCGAGCGUCAGUGCUCCACGUUGCGCAUUAGGCCUUGCACUAUGUAGGCCAAGCGAGACAACUUAUUGUUUAUUUGAGCCGUUCAAGUAUAAUCAUGUGGCGUUUGCUUAUUUCUCAUUCCUCUCCAACCCUCUUCUCCAUCGAUCAUGUCGCCCUCCAGUCGAGGCCAUCCUCCCGCAUGCCUCAUUUGAACAUUCUGACCAGUAUCAUUCGCAUGUACCCACCCUAGUCCUCUUUCAAUAGAUCUCCGGACCCCGAGAUGAAAUCGAGAGGGAACGAGUGGGGGCACAUGAUACCUAAGGCGGAUUCAAAAUUUUGAACCGGUGAUCAUAGCAUCCGCAAAUCAUAUAUAAAGGGUAUUCAAUGUUCGUUUCGUUUUUGAACGUACAAUAUACUCCCACUAUCCUUUCUAGUUUACAUAUAAGUUUUAUGUGUAGUCAAAGUAUAUGUACUUUGAUCAAAAAGGUAUCAACAUUCAACAACGCCCAAUCAAUAUUGUUAGAUUCGUACGUACUCCUAGAUUUGUACUCGAGAUGGUUUCCAAUUUGACUAUUGACAAGAUUAAUAGUACAUGAGAUGUAUAAUGUGAAAAUUAUAUCAUUGGAAACUCCUUUCACAUACGAAUUUGACCGUAUGCUUUGUGUAAGUUGCAUGUCAUAUAUUAUUACUCUAACAUUUGGUCAAAGUUACCCUCGGAAAAUGCAUUAGACCCUGUAUGCUUUGUGUAAGUUGCAUGUCAUAUAUUAUUACUCUAACAUUUGUGUAAGUUGCAUGUCAUAUAUUAUUACUCUAACAUUUGGUCAAAGUAGUAUAGUGGAAGUGGAUCCUCUGACGUAGGUAUCCCUGCCUUACCCUCCCUUUCGGUCACUUACUGGCGGACCCCAUGCUUGCUAGGCCCCGCAUGUCAGUUACUCAAUGGGUUCGGCCACGUCAGGGGAUCCUCAUCCUUAGUAUACUCCCUCUGUUUUUAUUUACUCCGCAUAAAACGGAGGGAGUGGUGGUAUAAUAAAUGACGCGGGCGAGGGAGGGGGAGGGACGUCGGUUUACUCUCAACUGCGGUCCCACAAGCGAGCGAAAACGCAAGACGAAGCGCGUUCCAUUCGGUGAGCGACGUGGAGGGUCCAGCGUGCCGAGCUGCAACGCGAACGCGACAAGAGCGAUGUACAGUCAAAACCGAUUGACCGGUCGUCACCGGAACCACUAUUCACACCAGAACCUUCGCUGCUCGGCCUACGCCAGCCACUGCCCUAAAACCACACCAAAUCUCCAGCCCAUUCCCCCACCUUUCAAUCCCCUAGCUCGCAUCAAGCGUCCCCUAGUUCGCCGGAAAGCCAUGGUGUGCCGCAAGAUCACUUACUACAAGAUGCUGACGCCGGAGCGCCGCGCAGAAAUCGCGGCGGCGGUCGGCGCCACAGACCUCCGUUCCCAAGCUCGCUUUGCGGCGGGCCAAUCCCCGAGUUCUCUAGAGCCAAGCUACGAGGAGGAGGAAGCCGAUCCAAUGUUCAUGACGGAUGUCGCGGCGCAGAAGGCCCCCGAUGGGUAUGAGACGAUGGACGUCGACUUCGUGCCGGCGUCCGAGUCCCCCAUGGUGCAGGCGGACCAGCGGUUCAACAUGGCGAUACUAAAGGAGGACCGGGAGGCAGAGGCUCAACUCGACACGGAGCGCGCGCAUGCCGCUGCCAUCGAGGCUCUCUUGCAGGCGGAACCGGGUGUCGUGGAUGUGAACCGGGCGGCGGAGGCUCAACUUGAGGCGGAGCGCGCGGAUGCCGCUGCCAUCGAGGCCCUCCUGCAGGCGGAACCGGACGUCCUGGACUUGAACCGGGCGGCAGAGGCUCGACUCGACGCAGAGCGCGCGGAUGCCGCUCUCAUCGACGCCCUCCUGCAGGCGGAACCGGACGUCCUGGACUUGAACCGGGCGGCGGAGGCUCAACUUGACGCGGAGCGCGCGGAUGCCGCUGCCAUCGAGGCCCUCCUGCAGGCGAAACCGGACGUCCUCGACUUGAACCGGGCUGUGCUCUCGUCCAUGCAGAGCGCCCGCACGCUCCGCUUGAACGAGUAGCUGGAGGCCGAGGACAACCACGGUGCGGAGAAACACGUCGGCAGCGACGGCUGGUUCGCGACGGCUGGUUCGCGCCGGCAGCCAAAGACGACGAGGCCGUCUCUUUCCGCGAGCAGUGAUAGUUUUUCUUUAUGUUGUUGUUUUUAUGGAUGUUUUGCUGUGUAAAAACAUAUAUGUGUUAUGCAAGUCGCCUGACUUGGGUCAGUCUACCAUUUUAGGCGGUUGGAUGAAUAUCCUACGUCUCCUAACCCUUCUUUCCUUCUUCCUCACCUCUUCUUCUUCCCCAAUAGACCACCGCACGGGCCGUACGGAUACUUCCCAACAUGUGGUUGGAUAAACAUACUCUAUGAACGAAAAAUAUAUGUCAGCGAUAGGAUGGCUGAGUUUGGUUUGUUCACAUGCGACAGCACGUGUCAGUGAGGGUGCGUUCCCUUGGUUGGGUUUGCAGCGUGCAGGAGCGACUGUGUGAGGGUGCGGUGCGACCGCGGUGUGCAGGAGCGACCGUGUGAGGGUGCGGUGCGACCGCGACAGUCGUGCGCAAGUGUACCUCCUUCUCAUUUUGAAAACUUUAGGCAAGCUUGGCAAAAAUGUGUGGCGAAGUUUGGCAAUGCAAGGCCUAGACCCAAACAGGAUAAGUACGUACGUACUAGGAGUACUAGUGUUAAAAAAGAAAGGCGGGGUUUUCCUUCGCGGGAUUUAAUCGAUACAAAUCCUCGUUUCAUGUGUCAAUUAAUGCGUAUUUUUUUCUCCAAAGACCAAAGAGCUAACCAUCUCACUCCUCAUCGCUUGAUUAAUGCAGCGCCAUGCAAACCAACCUUCUCACUUCCGCAUGCAUGCAGGGGAUAUUAAUGUCCUUGAUUGCUAACCCCAUCAAUUUUGCCUCGAUUAGUGUUAGUGGCCCUUUGCAAAUUGUAAUUUUGAUAUACUGGCCUUGUCUACAAAAAAAUGGAGGUAGUAACUAUAUUUGACUUCCGUCCCCAUUGCGGUGACGUCGACGAUAUCUUUUUUUUGCUGGUUUGGCGAAGUGCGUUUGACGGAGAACACCAUUGAGGGAGACCACGGUAAGUCGUUCGCAAGUGCCGCCUGCAAGCCGAGACAACCGCCUUAUUUGCAUCCAGGAAGUCCUUUACUAGUACUACUAGGAGUACUAGUGCGGUGAGAUGGUUUCUCGAAGAACACGAUGGAGAAGCGGAGUCAACGAAGAGUGAAAUGAUGGUUGCUUCGUCCGUGCUUUUGUGAUUUGACGCCUCACUGCUUUGUGAUUUGUGAUAGAAGGGACAGGGGAGAGGGGAGUAGACUCUGUGCUCUAUACUGUACUACAUGCGUCCAAGCAUGGGAGAAAGAGGAGAGACGUUGCAUUUUUCUAUUCCUUAAAUCAAUCAAUCAGGGAGCUUCGGUUCCAUCUUUUUGGCUUUGGCAACACCGUACACAAUGGUUCCCACGAUGCCAAAAGCUAUUUUCACAUUUGGCUACACAUUGUGGAUGCCCUUAACCGUACCACUUGGUUUUGCUGCUGUGUGCUAUCUAUACAAAUCGCAAUUAUAUUGAUCUCAAAAAUUAUAGAAUCAAGAUUAGUAAAAAGGAGGUGAUUUUGCCGCGCGGAUGGCGGAGGAGGUUUCUUAUUCGAGCAAUGCUACAUCCACGUAAUGGUUUACGUAAAGUUACGAACUGAUGUGAUGUGGGACUAUUUGAUUGGAUUAAAGGAGAGGAUUAGGCCCACCCCACCUGAAAAUCAGGAGGGGCAUAUAUAGAUUAGAUGGAAAGUAUACGUAGCAGCUACGUAGCCCUUUGUAAGUCUAGGAUUAGGCUUCUUAUUUUCGGAGGACGUUGUCCUGGCGGUUUGCUAACAUGCGGUCCCAUGUGUCAGUGCUUUACCAAGCCGAUCCGCGUCCCACAUGAGGCAGAACAACGGCAGAAGCAACACGUGGUUAAGUUGAAGAAGAUGAGGGAGAAGCGGAUUCAGCAACGAGUGAAAUGAUGGUUCCUUCGUCCCUCCAACUUAACUGCGGGAAAGGUGCAGCUUUGUGAUUUGACGCCUCAUUGCUCAUUACUACGCCGGCGCCAUGACUGGGGUGCUUGACCCCGGCUGCUCUGCACUGUAUUCCGGUAUGGCACGUGGACCCGGUAGCUUGAUGUCCCACAUGUCGGCGAAAGGGACUAGAAGAUUUAUGAAAGCGAGCGCUCCACUCUUACGACGGAGGAGUAGACGACACGACGGCCCAGUGAACUGUCACUUGUACUGUAUAGUACUAUAGUUUUGCUGUUUCGCACGAUCCAUCGAUACAAACCCGAUUAAACAGGAAAGGGUGGGGUUUUUCCCGCGCGGUAGAUGAUACUGGCCAUACACUUCAAAGCCAAUUUUAAUGUAUGCAAACUGAAUAAUUAUAAGUAACAAUAUGAUAUCUAGUAAAACUAAAAACACAUAUGAUUUAUUGUGUUAGAGUGUAGUAGUAGUGUUGUAUUGCAUAGUUGUUAGAUGUAACAUGCGAGAACGUGUAGAGAUGUAGUUUUGGAGGGCCUACAGAUAGAAAAGCGUAAUACGGUCACCGAAGUUCAGAAUGAGCUGAUUACGGUCACUAUAUACAUUUUGCGGUGAUUAUACGGUCACUUGCUCACAGUUCAGCAUUGGAUUGCACUCUGUUGACCGGCCAAAUAGUCUGCGUGGCGCCAUGUUGACUAGUUAAAUUGACCACGUUCCUUGUGGGUCCCACCUGUCAGUUCGCAUAGGCAAAAGGUCAGAUAAACACAAAUUUACGCAGGCGCGACAAGGCUCCAACCCGUGCGCGGGAAUCACCUGGUUGUGUAUGUGUCUGUCAGGGCCUGAUGUGUGCGCAUGCACGUGUAGGUUGAGCACUUGAGCAUGAGAGUGUGUGUUGGUCGUGUGGUGUACUGGUGUGUGCAUGCAUGCGUGCGUGUGUGCGUGUGAGUGUUGCGUGCGUGCGUGGCUGCGUGUGUACGUGUGAGUGUUGCGUGCGUGCGUGGGUGCAUGUGUUUGUGUGAGUGUUGCGUGGAUGCAGUUUGUGUGCAUGCGUGCGUGUGUGUAUAAUCACCACACCAGCUCCUGUGUGUUAAAACAGAUGGCUCAGCAUACCAAUACAAGGCCACCUUUGUCCGCUGUGCCCGCGGUCAUGACUUCGAACCACCGUCCAAAUAUAUUUUUGUCGUUUGUUUUCAUUCUUACUAGCAAGAUGCCCGUGCAUUGCACGUAACAUCAAGAUGCAUUUGUAUGACUUGUUUAUCUUGUGAGAGAAAAGGAUGAACGAGGGAAGGCCUUAUUUGCAAAUGUGGAGAGGUGUGUGGGUACCUUUUUGCAAAAUUGCCAUAGUUUCUUUCCUAUCCGUCAGAUAUAAAUCGGACGGCCUAUAUUGCAGGAUGGCAGGCACACCAUCAUCACCAACUCUGUUUUUUAUAAGAGUGUAUUUUAUGUAUUUUAUAAGAGUGUAGAUGUAGAGUAGAUACAAGUCGACAGGUGGGCACGAUGGUAGUGAGAUAAUGUGAUGCAACACUAGAGGUGCCACGUGGAGCGUUUAACUGGUCAACUAGUCAUGUCAUGAGCAAAAACAAAGUUGUACGGUGAGUCUGUGACUGUAUAAUAACCACUAAACGUAAAUGGUGACCGUAAUGAGUGGAUUCUGAAGUCCAAUGUACGUAUCGUGCUUUCGCUUCAAAUACAAUGAUCGUCAUUGCAUAUAUCGCGAGAGAAAGAUGAAACAUGCGUGAAUUUUCUGGGGGCUUACUUUUAGAGGACCUGGAGAUAGUUUUGUGUGCAUACGUGAAAGGGGCGUACAGGGGGGUAUGCGAUGGAGAGAGAGAUGCUCUUCGUUUCUCUUUAUUAUGACUAACUUUGUAUAUAGUAUAAAAAUAUAUCACAGUGCGGAAUAAAUAUCAUUGUGGGCACCAUGCAAUGCAAAUUAGCGUUCGUACUCCUCCAUAUAACUUUGUAAUGUUGUACAUAUGUAGAAACUCUAAAAUGAUUUUUUCGCCACGCUUUAUUCAAAAGGAAUGUUGUAUGCGAAAUAAACGUGAAGAGACGGCUUUUUAGAUCAAUGGGUACGUGAUGUAACAUGUGUGAAUGUGUAGUUAAUGCAUUGGCGGGGCCUAGAGAGGUAUGUGUGUGUAUUACGUAUUCGAGAGAGGCAUGGAUAGAGGGGCCGGCGGGGGGCAUGGGAGAGAUAGCACGAGAAAUGAGAGUGGUCUAGAGAGAGAGACGAAUAUGACGUCACGACAAGAGAUUCCAUUCCCUUGAGUGUGUGUAUAUGCAAGGGGGGAGGGAAUAGAGGCACCAGGAGAAAUUUUCUGUGUGUGUGGUGUUUGUGUUGGUAUGUGUGGGUGUGAGAAGAUAAUGAGACGUGGGGGCAGAGGGUGUGUCACCGCGUGAGGUUCGGUGGGUCGAGGUGAGGCCCUUUGUUCGGUUCCGUCCUGCGCCACAUUGGUCGGCCCGUGACGCAUUUAGGAAGACCCAUGGAUGACUAGUCAUACAAGACAAAGAUAGCAGAAUUGUGAAGGACUCUGUGUCCACUGACAAAGCCGGCUAGGAUUUGUAACCCUAGAUUCUCGGACUAAGGUAACCCCUUUAUCUCUGAUAUUACUAUUCAUCCAACCUAACUUUAAGGGGCAUCCUACAGAAUGCUCUGCUAGAAUCAUACUCGUCGAUUAGGAAGAGAGGUGUGAGACAAUGCGUGAGAGACAGGCGUAAAGAUAAUGUGCGUACAUGAGACACGUAGGCAGGUCCAUGUAUAUAGAAAGGGUCGAUGAGGAUUGUGUGUGUGUAUGUUUGCGAGAGUAAGAGUGCUUGUGAUAAAGGUUAGUGAAAACAGUUGUAAAUGGUUACGAGAGGGAGGGAGAGUUAUAUCUAGAGCAUGUGUGCGAGAAAGACACCUCAGGAGAGAGUGUGUGAGCAUGUGUGAGAGACCAUCGAUGGAGAGUGAAACUACACGUAAAAGACGGCUCUACACAUUGAUUAAAGAUAUAAAUUGUAUCCAAAUAUUAGGAUGGGAUCAUGAUAUUUGCAAUUCGCGUAAGGAGCGGUCAUUGAUCCAUCAGACAUCUAGAUUCUAUCGAAUUUGAGCAUGUCUAUGUUAUUAUUCGACACAAUUGAUCCACAUAGUUAGUAUUUUGAACUCCAGACAAUGCAUCGCUUUAGCAAUCGAAUAUAAACGUGAGUAUAGUUCAUGUUGUGUGUGUAAAGCACAUUAUACAUACGAACGUUACACAAUGGACAUUAUAAAUAGCUACCUAUGAACUAGCAUACAUUUGAAUUCAACUUAAGGUGGUUUUAAAAAAUCGAAUUCAACAUGAAGUCCAUUCAAUUAUUUGAAUUUGAUAUCAUGGCAUUUGUAAACCAUACCUAAAUUAUGGGGGCACCAAUCUUUGCUCUGAUUUUGUACAUAAUAGCAUAUGUAGUCGUGUACAAAAUAGAUUCAAAUUUAGCUCCUCCAUUCCAAAAUAAUCGUAGUUAUAGGAUUUUCAAGUGUCAAAAUUUCAAAAAGAAGAGGAUAAUUUAAUGAGGUUUUCAAACAUACAAGGUCAAAUAUAACGUUGUCUAUUUAGGACAAUCCUCAUAGUUCAAGAGUACUCUAAACGUGAAUGCUUGUGUUUCAAAAUUUCGAACGAAGCGCCAAAAGAGCCUCUACUCGCCCGAAACCGCGUGAGACCAAUGUUUGGUAGUAUAAGGAAAUUACUUUUCUAAUAACUCCGACCCGUGAAACCUACCGGCCCGACGUCCAAAGGUCUAAACUGGGGUAGGUUUGUAGCUUCAUCUAGACGCCACGCAACCGCAUCCGAAAAACAUUCAUACACAAUGGCCACCUAAGCACACAUGCGCGCGGCCGAAAUUGCUCCCGUCCACUAUUUGGGACACCUGGGAUUACCAUCCUACCCCCGACCCACAGUAGGUCCGAAAUUUAAGAGGGGGGCAAAGUUUGUACUUUCCCCAAAUUUCAAACAAGCGCGUCCCAUCUUCUGUUCAAAAAAGCCAAAAACAAGCGCGUCCCAAACCGAAACAUGGUUCCCCCCACCCGUCUGAUUCCCCAUUCGUACUCCGUGGGUGCCAAAACUACCUCUCCACCAGCCGCGAAACCCCGGCGUCCUCCGUCCGCCACCCCAUCCCACCCAUCAACCACCGCCCUCCUCCAUCACGCCGGAGCCGAUACCCCGACAUCGUCGUCCACCGCAACCUCAACCACAACGCCCUCCACGGCUAGUUGUUGAAGCCGAGGCCAAGCCGUCCGUACCCGAGCCAGUUCAACCACGCCGUCCUGCGCCUCACCGCUGCCGCUCCAACUUCACCACCCUCCACCGCACCGGAGUUGUUCCUGCUACGCCGUCCUUCGCCGCCUCGGAUCUGCUUCCCCUCCACCGACAUACGGCCACGGCAACACAGUCAACAAUUUGGCCAUGGGUUCGUCCAAGCCUGCACCCUCCAGAACAUCGGUUUCCCCGGUAAAAAGAAGAUCGGCGCGACAUGUGGAGGUGACCACACCGGCAACCAAAAAAGGUACUCCUCUUCCCUUAUUCGUGCAAAUCUUACGUCUCUGCUUGCACGGUAUUCAUCCCACAGAAGACACUAGUUGACCGCGUCUUCUUAAUACUAGAUGUUCCUAGUAACUCGCGAUGCACAAGGUUUCUCCUCAUAUACUAUUUCACCUUAGCUAGAGGUCCGUCGCCUCCCUGAAUUUCAAUUUCUGGCCAGUUGAUUCCCAAUUAACGAAAGCAUUCCCCGGGGUAACAGGCGCUAGUACGCCUAUUACGCCGGGGAAGCAGCGCCUUGGUGUUUAUCUUAGGGGCAUGUGCGGCCUAGAGCUACUGGCGCCCGAUCUGGAGGUCGGUCGGGAUUAAAGGGAUGGCCUGGGGGCGCUGCCAAGCACGGCGGUGGUGUGAGGUCAAUGGGAGGGCGGGGCGGCGGAGGCUGGGGUCUGGGCCGGUGGUCGCUGGCGGUUCGAGAAAGAUCGUCAACAGUGACUGGCGGGAGGUAGACGAAGGCCAUCUGCCCGUUCCUUAUAGAUCGGACGGUUCAUUAAAAAAAUCGACUGACCUAUUUAUUUUCAGUCGACUGUUAUCUUAGAUAUGACCACAUGUGGUGGUGUGUUGGAGGAGUACCUGCAUUUCCUGUGCUCAUAUAUUACAAAAUCAUACGGAGUAGAAUCUAAUUUUGUUUGCCAUGCAAUGUUGUAGAGCUAUCAUAUGUCUCCUGUCAUUUAUUUUUCAGCCACCUGCUAUCUGCUACUUUUACAGUGCACUAGUUCUGCACACACUUCACCCUUACUCUCACUAUUGUGUUUUUAUGCAAGGGUAUUUCAGACUCAGCUGCCAUGAGAGAAGCCAAAAAGAAAAGAGAGAAGUCGCCGGAGCUUAGUAUGCGGGAAGGCAAGACACGUUACAGCGCUAUAAAGGGUGCAGUGUCAGCAGAUGGAGACAGUAAACGUAGCUCUGGAGUUGAUGACCUCGCUCGCAAUGAACCACCAUCCCAGGUGCUUGCUUUAAGUUCACGGUGUCAUAUGUGGUUGCAUGUUCCAUAUGGUGUCUAGCUUGUAUUCGAAAGGCCGAAGUCGGUAAGAUAAGGAAAGAUAUUUUUUUUACAUGAACCACCAUCCCGUGAGCACCAGAAGACAAAUAGCUAGUCAGGGCACUGGCCGAGCCGGUGACAAGCCCAGCAAAGAUAGGCAUCACCCGGAAGCCAGCUAAAAAGCUGCGAUGGUGGCGAAGCAGCCCGCCUCCCACCAGGCUCUCAGGUCCUAGAUGAUCAUGCUCACCACUCUAGCCGGAUGUCUAGCUUGUAUUGCUUCCAAUUUGGUUAAAUUGCAUCUGCUUAGCUUACACAUUAUACCUUUGAAUAUGACAUGCCUUUCUAUUUUUGGUACAUACUAGUACAUCUAUGUAUUAACCAUGUUCUUACAUCAAACUAAUGUUCUUGUGUAUCCCUCAUCAAUCACUUAUGACGAGGCAGGCAGGCAAGGGGACUACUCCUCAUUUAAGAAUGCAGCGUCAGCCUCCCGACAUGAUUCUCAAGAAACAGAAAUGCUAGAUGAAGAUAGUGCACGUAGCUCUGUAGUUGAUUACAGCAUUUCCCCGACACUAGCAUCGCAGGUGCUUGCUCUAACUUGGCAGCGUGAUAUGUGGUUACAUGUUGCAUAUGGUGUCUAGAUUGUAAUUCUUCCAAUCUAGUUAAACUGCAUGUGCUAGUCUGCUUAGCUUAUACAUUAUACCUGUUAAUGUGACAUGCCUUCCUGUAUUUACUACAUAGUACAUCUGUCUAUUAAGCAUGUCCUUACAUAAAACUAUUGUUUUUUUGUAUCCCGCAUCAAUCAACAUGACGAGACACCUUUAAUAUAUGCAGUGCGAUAUUAGUUGCAUCUUUCAUAUGAUUUAUAGCAUGCGCUGCUUCUAAUUUAUUGAAAUUCCAUUUAUGAUGGGACGCUUUUAACUUGGCAGAGUCAUAUUGGUUGUAUCUUUCAUGUGGUGUCUAGCUUGCAUUGCUUCUUAUUUGGUGGAAUGGUUUCUUCUUAGUUUACACAAACAGUUGUGAACAUGCCAUGACGUCCUGUUUUUCGUACAUAUUCCAUCCUGGUAUCAUGUGUUUGCCUUACAUCAAGUAGUGAUUGUCAGUAUCAUGCAUGAAUGAGUUCUGAAGAGAGAAUUUUAUUGCUUUUUCUUGUCGGUUUUACUUGACAAUUCAAAAUCAAUAAAGCGGAAGGAAGUUAGCAAGGCAGCGGAUAAAGGUGCUCCUUCCGAACGGAGGGCCUCUACAGUUUCUACUCCUCCACACCCCCAAGAUGAUUUCCAAGACAACACAUGCAUAGACACUCAACAAAGCUGUGUUUAUGAUGAGCACGUCUCUCCUAGUGCAGCAUCACCGGUGCUCCCUCUAACUUGGCACUGUUAUAUGUGGUUGCAUGUUAUGUGUGAUGUCUAGCUUGUAUUGCUUCUAAUUUUGUUGAAUUCCAUCUGCUUACUUUACACAUUAUACUUGAAUAAGACACGUGUUCCUGUUUCUAGAACAUACAAUAUCUGUCUAUCACACCAUGUUCUUACAUCAAAUUACUACUGUUGUGUAACCUGCAACAAUCACUUAUCAUAAGACGCGUUUGACUUCGGAGUGUGAUAUAGGUUACAUCUCACAUUCUUUUCUAGCUUGUACUACUAAUUUGUUGAAAUGGCACUUAUGACGAGACAGUUUUAACUUGGUAGAGUGAUAUUCGUUGCAUCUUUCAUAUGGUGUCUAGCCUUCAUUGCUUCUAAUUUGUUGAAAUUCCUUCUCCUUAGUUUACACAUCAUAAGAUGUGAAUAUGCAAUGGCACUAAUGACGAGAGACCUCUAACAUGGUAGUGUGAUGUUGUUUGCAUCUUGCAUAUAAUUUAUUUCUUGUACUGCUUCACAUUUGUUUAAACGCCAUUUAUGAUGAGACACUGUUAACUUGGCAGAGCGAUAUUUGUAGCAUCUUUCAUAUGGUGUCUACCUUCCAUUGCAUUGCUUCUAAUUUGGUGAAAUGUCUUCUUCUUAGUUUACACAUCAUAGUUCUGGUUAUCUCUUUCGUCCUGUUUUUCAUACAUAUUACAUCCUCCAAUCAUGUGGUUGUCUAACAUCAAAGUUCAGUUCGUCUGCAUCACGCAUCAAUUUUUUCUGAAGAACUAAAUUGUUAUUCGUUUUUCUUGUCGACUUGACUUAACAUGGCACAGAGAAAGAGGAACAAACACAGAAUGGCAGGGAAUGAGAAGCGGAUGAAUCCUGCAGAUUCUGCUGGUACUGGACACUUCCGUGAUGAUAAUUUUGAUAAUGUCAUGGAACACUUCUACGACAGCACAGGUAUGACUAUCUUGAUUCUGUCAUAAAAUCAUCAUGGAUGUACACGCAUGACAAAAAACGCGACCUACUGUGACAAACACAUAUCAUCACGGAAGUGUGUUUUUUUUGUAGUGAUCACUAUGAUAGGCGUGAAUAUGGUUGGCCGCAUCAUUAAUUUCCCUCGUACCAGUUGUACAUGAGCGGCAUGCAACCCUUUUUUCUCACAAAAAAGUUGUCCCUCUUAUGUAAAAUAAAUGUCAUGGUUUUAGUUCAGAGAGUAAGUGAUACGUAACCCAUCAAAUGUUGGACACACAUAGUUGGAUGGUUGAUCCAAACAGUAAAGAAUACCUACUGUUGGAUGGUUAGGAGGACAUUGGUAUCCUCUAUCCACCAAAGUUCUUGCUCGCGUUUUCCUGGAUUUAUUCCAGGCCUUUUGGUGAUGUGCGUUCAGUGGGAGACGUUCUAGUCGACUUGCGAAGGUGUCUAUGGCGACUUCGUCAAUCUGAAGAUGAUGUGCAGACUAAGUCUCUCAGAGAUGCUCAUAGGGAUUGGGCGUGUGCGCGUGCGUGCAUUUAUAGGGAUGAGUGUAUACUCUUAUAUGUGAGCGACUUUGAUUGUACCAUGUUAAAAAAAGGGAUAAUUAAUUUGGUGCCCUUAGUUGUGUCCCACUCGGCAGUUUUGCCCCUAAUUUCAAAAAACCCUUGGUCUUGCCCAAGUGCGUUUGUUCCCUUAUGUUUUUGCCCUUCCGUCCUAGUUCCGUCCGGUCAAAGGCGUUUGACCGUUAGUUAGACAUUUUUCUGGACCAUUUUACCCUUCCUCUCUUUAUGCGUCCUCUCUCUCUCUCUGCGUGCCCGCCUCCCCUCUCCCUCUCUGCAAGAAACAGGAGGUCGUCGCCGCCCUGGUAGUUCUCAGCCACCGUCCGUUUUGAGCGCCACCGCGAGCAGCCGUGCCAGAUCUGUCGACCCCACCACCGGAUCUGCGAGACCCCGACCAUCCUACCUCGCCUGCCGAAAUUCGUCACCGUUGACAUCCGGCACCGCCCCGUUCCCCGCUCACGCCCGAUCCGUCGGGGGAGUGUCCGGCCCCGCCAUGCCCAGCGCGGCCACUAAGCGCCGCAGUCCAAUACGGAUGGCUGCCAAGGCGCUGCUGACAACGUCGCCGCCAGCGCCAAUCCCUCGCUCCCUCCAGAUAGCGCCGCCACCAGCAGAGGAUGCACGCUACGCCGGUCGAUCUAGCGCCUGCCCAGGCCACCGCACCGCUGGACCACCACCGGAGAAAAGCAGCAGGACCGCGUCGCCCUUCUCCUUCCUCCCCCUCUGUUUCUUCCUGUCUGAGUGCGCUGCCGUUCUCCCGCAGGUUCAAGCCACCAUGGCCAUGGCGCCCUGAGCCCCGAGACGAAAACAACUGCCAUCUACCUCGCCGCCGGUCGCCAGCGCCUCCCCGACCUCCAUCUCGGUCGUAUCCGGUCCAUCCCGAGCCUCCCGCGGCGGGAUCCGCCCGUCUCUCCACCGCGCCCGCAUGCCCCGUGCUGAUUCGGUUCUCUCCUGCAUCCGUCGCCGCCCCUUGCAGUUAACCACGCCUGACGCCUCCUCGCGCCCCUGUCCCAGCUCACCAACUCGCCGGCCUGCCUCGACUUUUCGACGGCAAUUGCUUGUCGUCGCUGUUGUUGUUUGCCCAGCAACAGAGAGAGUAAGAGAGGAGAGAGAGACUAAUUUUCUAUUUGGUAUUUUUUUUCUUUUCAAUGUGGUUGGGACCCACUUGUAAAUGUCAUGUUUUUUCUCUUCAUAUUUUUACUGGAGUUAUAAGGAGGGGCAAAAUAGUCCAGAGAAAUAUCCUUCUAACGGUCAAACACCUUUGACUGGACGGAAUUGAGACGGAAGGGCAAAAGCACAAGAGAACCAACCGCACUUGGGCAAGACCGAGGGUUUUUUGAGAACUAGGGGCAAACCUGCCGAGUGUGACCCAACUAGGGAUAUAAAAUCAAUUAUCCCUAAAAAAAUACUUACUCAUAUAGUAAAAGACCGUGAUUUUUCUAAGAAAAACUAAGUGAUUCUUCUAUAAAAAUAAGAGACGUAGCCACUUAACCCUUCCCAACCCCAAAGCGCUCACAGUGCUUACAAUCGAGGGAGCUUAGAUAUUGUAGUGAUGGUACUUGCACGGGCACAAUGGAUGCACUGGGCACAGUAUAUGCAGGGGCACAGAGGCUCUGCUCACAUGCAGUACCUAUUCAUUCACCUGGGAAGGAAUUUCAAUGCCACAAAUGAAUAAGGCGAAUCAACUAACAACUCAAAAGGGAAUGAGUGACACUUCGUUAAUCAAAAGCAUCAUAAAAAAUUAAAAAUCUUACAGUUUUGAUCUUUAAUGAGUGAUCAAACCCAUACUUCCAAAUUUUCACUGCAAAUGAUUCUAGUUGCAAGUUUACAACGCCAAAAGAAUAUGGUCUUCAUAGUAAUGACAUACUUAUGGAGCACUAUUUGUAAAGCGUCUGAAGCGCCCGCUUAGGCGUCCUGAUUGGCGCUUUAGUGCAGAGAGGACGCCUUAGACUAGCCAGGCAGGGGAAUAGAGAUCUCUAAUGGGGAAAAAGGGUUAGGCAGGAACACAAGGGCAGGAAAACUGGGCUCAUAUGUGAAACAGUUACAGGAGUCAGGAGGGGAAAGAAAGAGAGAGAACCAAAACCAGAGAUGCAAAUCUCCAGGCUUUUAGCCCUCUCCUCUCUGGUCUGGCAGCGGCUUCCUCCUGAGAUCUGCACUAGGUUCCUCCUCUCCGGCCAGAGCUCCUCCCCCUUCUCCUCUCCGACUGCAGCUCCUUCCCCCCUCCUCUUGCGCAACCACAAUAUGGCUCCUGCCCUCUCUUUUCCCCUUCCCCUCUCCCUUUGCUCUUUCUUCCAUGCUUAGAUCUGCACCAGCUUGUCAUGCCUUUCCUGCUCUGUUAUGUGUCAUGCUAUGCACAGCUCGUCUGCUGUUAGGUGCUGCUACUGCUUCUCUUAUAGUAGUUGACUAGUUGCUUACUGCUUAGUGGAUGGAUUAGAAUAAUGGCUACUAAUGCAUAUGCUCACAGGUGGAUUAAAAUCAAGGUAUGUAUGUCUCACUAAAUGAUACUCCCUCCGUCCGAAAUACUUGUCAUCAAAAUGGAUAAAAGGAGAUGUAUCUACUAGAUAGAGAUCUAUCUAGUAGAUACAUCUCCUUUUAUCCAUUUUGAUGACAAGUAUUUUUGAAUGGAGGGAGUACUCUAUUCUACAGCCCAUCAGGUGCAGAUUCUGUCUAAAGGGUCGCCUCGCUUUACGCUUUAGCGCUUAAGCAGUGAGCCCCCAGUAAGCGUCACAAUUAUUGCUGGUGCCUCCACUCUAAGUACACAGAAAGUAACUCAAAAGCAGGCAGAAUCCUACCUGAGUAAUUCUGUCAACGAUACAGUCAUCAGCAUAAGUUCCUUUGUGUGUGCACGCCAGUCUCUAGAACCUAGGGUCCUUUGAAAUUCUGUGAUACAGGGAAUCACAAAAAAUAAAGGUCAAGUGCUAAUGGAUACAAAAAUAACAAUAUCAAACACCUAAUCACACAUAUGUACAAUUAGCACAAUUAUAGAGAGACGAUUCAGGAACUAUUACAGCAAUUGUUGGGCAUGAAUAUACCUUAAAGCCACACGAUAUUUUUGUCCCAACUUUUCAAGCUCAGCAAUAACACAAUCAGUGAUGCAGAGGGUACCUUCAUAACAUGGUCGGGUUUGUCAUCAAAGAAUUAUGCAGUUCAACAUACACAAGAAAAACGAUAGCACACAUCCAAAUAAGACAACUGACAACAAAAUAAUGGCGCUAUAAGCUUACAUUUUGCAUAAAGGCAGUCCAUCAUUCCUUUCUCCAAAUCCAACUGCAUAGGGAAAAAGAAGCAUCAAGUCAGGCAGAUAACUUUCUAUGCAUGAAGACGAGUCUGACUUGACUGUUAACAUCACUAGCAUUAGCAAAACAUAUGACCAAGGCUAUCGGACUAAAUCUAACCCCAAAACAACCACUUCAUCCUGCCCAUUUUCUUAGCUAUUAUAAUGGUUUUUUAUCUAGUAAGAACUAGUAGCUUCAGUUAAUUCAGCAACUCAAACUUGUCGGUAAGAAAAAUAAACUCAAACCGUUGCUGAAAGCAAAUUUGAAACUGUCUGCUGUCCAAACGAGGCAUUUGUAAGACAAGUUCUGGUGACCACAAAUAUUUUUUACAGUUGAGAUUACACGGGGGGCUUCCAAUAAGUAAGUAUAGACAAACAACAAAGCAGGAUAGUUCUUCUUAAUGAAAAGAUAGCACUUCGUCUGCUUGCUCCAGAAAACAAUCUAGGUUUGUUGUUGCAUUACAAGUUCUCGAAAGCUACUAGCAGCCUAUUUUGGGCCCAUUGGCGAGAAAAUUGCAAAGAUGUUAUGAAGAAGGCCCUAGGUCGGCACCCCGACUGCCUGCGGUACAGAGGAUUCCCGUUUGUUCUAUGCUUCCACGAUAAUUUUGAAUGGAAAUGAUAAGAUGUCACAUUUAUGAACCUCAAGAGAGCUCAAUGAAAAUCACCAAGCAACAUUGCGCCUACCAUAUCUAAUUACAAGCUCUGUCAUCUCUAUGACCGUCUUAAAGCCUGACACACACACUUGACACCCUUUAGUGCCCCUAUGCAUGGGGGUAUGGCAAUUGAUUGCAGACUAGGAUGAGGAGCCAAGGUUGCAACUAAACUACAAUGCAAAUCUCAGCCAGAGGUACUCAUGGGAUCCAUAAGCUAGUAACUGUGAUAUUAUCACUACUAGAAAAAGGCUUACUAGUGGCGCACCAGUUUUGCCUACUAAUGGCGCACUACUGGUGCGCCACUAGCACCAUGCCACUAGAAUAUUUUAGUAAUGGCGCACCACAGGUGCGCCAUUAGUAUCUGGCAUACUAAUGGCGCACCACGGGUGUGCCAUUAGUAUCCCAAAGGUGCGCCAUUAGUAACUGGUAUACUAAUGGCGCACCAGAUGGAAGUGCGCCAUUAGUAACAUUUUUAAAAAAAAAAAUCGUUUUUUUCUUAAUCUCAGGUCACUAUUUCACAUAUGAGAUAUCCAACACAUAUAUAUACAACAAGCAUCCAUAUAACAAUCAUAUCCAACACACAAGUUUCAUCAUAUAUAAAUACAUAGCCAACACAUAGUUCCAUCGUUACAUAUUACAAAAGUUUCACAUUGUUCAUCCAACACCGUUAUCCAUCCAACACCAUAUUACAAAAGUUUCACAUAGUUCAGUUCUCAUUUUUCUUCUCCUUCUCCUUCCUUGGCCUGAUGCGCCAAGAGCGGCGAGGCGGUGGAGGCAGCUGUGGGAUGUAGUCUUCUACCACAAUUGGCGUGGUCAUGUCGCCCAGCUGUGGGAUCGCCGGCGCCACCACCGGUGUGUGGUCAUUGUCAGGCACCACCACCAUCGCGAGGCCACCUUCAGGCAGGACGGGCACGACCAUCGCUAGGUCAUCCUCAGCCACCACCAUCUCUUGCCCAUGGUCAGCCACCACCAUCUCUUGCCCAUGGUCAGCCACCACCAUCUCUUGCCCUUGGUCAGCCACCACCAGCGCUAGGUCAUCCUCAGCCUGAUGCCCAUCGUCAUCCUGCAGCUCCUCAUCCCCACUCUGCUCCUCUUCUCCCCCACUCCAGUCCGGAUCAUCCUUCUUGCUGUCUUUGCUGCUGCCAGAAUCGCUGCUGCUUUCGCUAAAGCCAGAAUCGCUGCUGCUUUGGCUGUAGCCAGUGUCGCUGCUGCUGCUCCCAUUGCCUGUCCAAAUGCAACAAUGGCCGUUAACAAUCGAUAUGAGACAAAGCCAAAUGUAGAGGAAUAAGAAGAGGCAGAACGCACUGGCAUCUUCGUCGUCAGCGUAGCGCAUGCGACACAUAGUCGUGUUGAAAACCUUCACGAUGAGCAUUGUGGCGUCAUCGUCGUACCUGAAGAGAAGAAAGUACCCGGUCCACAGGUCGUAGGCACUGUAGAACUUGUCCCAGCCACGGCACAGGUACAUGUGGCCCUCCUCGAUCACCAACUCCACGUCCCACAGCCUGCGAACCCCGCCGCCGGCCUGUCGGAGCUUCACAUUAUGUGGCGGAUCUUCACCCAGCAUGUUCAUAAAAGUGUCAGGCAGCCUCUGCAAUUUGGGACAAGGAGUGAUGUAGCAAACAACAGAGUUAUCAUAAUGAGAUGGGUGAAGGGGAGAUCUCUCGUUUUAUAUACCUGCCUCGUGGCUGAUACUGAAGUCCCAAGUAUGACACUGAAGAACUCGAAAGCAUCCAACUCGUACUCCGGUGAGGCAGAGCGGCGGUGGCUGCUUCCCCCCAUCUCUGAUAAGCAGCAGAAGAGACCAAUUCAAGUUAGCAAUAGAUUCAAGUGAAUGUAUCUUUUAUUGCAAAGCCACAACUUAGCAAUAGAUNNNNNNNNNNNNNNNNNNNNNNNNNNNNNNNNNNNNNNNNNNNNNNNNNNNNNNNNNNNNNNNNNNNNNNNNNNNNNNNNNNNNNNNNNNNNNNNNNNNNNNNNNNNNNNNNNNNNNNNNNNNNNNNNNNNNNNNNNNNNNNNNNNNNNNNNNNNNNNNNNNNNNNNNNNNNNNNNNNNNNNNNNNNNNNNNNNNNNNNNNNNNNNNNNNNNNNNNNNNNNNNNNNNNNNNNNNNNNNNNNNNNNNNNNNNNNNNNNNNNNNNNNNNNNNNNNNNNNNNNNNNNNNNNNNNNNNNNNNNNNNNNNNNNNNNNNNNNNNNNNNNNNNNNNNNNNNNNNNNNNNNNNNNNNNNNNNNNNNNNNNNNNNNNNNNNNNNNNNNNNNNNNNNNNNNNNNNNNNNNNNNNNNNNNNNNNNNNNNNNNNNNNNNNNNNNNNNNNNNNNNNNNNNNNNNNNNNNNNNNNNNNNNNNNNNNNNNNNNNNNNNNNNNNNNNNNNNNNNNNNNNNNNNNNNNNNNNNNNNNNNNNNNNNNNNNNNNNNNNNNNNNNNNNNNNNNNNNNNNNNNNNNNNNNNNNNNNNNNNNNNNNNNNNNNNNNNNNNNNNNNNNNNNNNNNNNNNNNNNNNNNNNNNNNNNNNNNNNNNNNNNNNNNNNNNNNNNNNNNNNNNNNNNNNNNNNNNNNNNNNNNNNNNNNNNNNNNNNNNNNNNNNNNNNNNNNNNNNNNNNNNNNNNNNNNNNNNNNNNNNNNNNNNNNNNNNNNNNNNNNNNNNNNNNNNNNNNNNNNNNNNNNNNNNNNNNNNNNNNNNNNNNNNNNNNNNNNNNNNNNNNNNNNNNNNNNNNNNNNNNNNNNNNNNNNNNNNNNNNNNNNNNNNNNNNNNNNNNNNNNNNNNNNNNNNNNNNNNNNNNNNNNNNNNNNNNNNNNNNNNNNNNNNNNNNNNNNNNGCGUCGAGGCAGCGCAAGACCACAGCGGCGGACGACGUGCAGGCGCGGCGGACGGAGGGGGCGGAGCAAGGGGACGGCGGCGUACGGUUGGGGUCGAGGAGUGGGGGAUCUGGCGAGCGAGGGAGGGAGGGAGGCGACAGUGUGAGGGGAACAAGCGAUUCUAAUGGCGCACCUCCCCCUGGUGCGCCAUAAGUACGUCGAUUCUAAUGGCGCACCUCCCCCUGGUGCGCCAUUAGAAUUUUGUUUUACUUACUAGCCCGACUGGUCAGGUUAUAUUCCACCUAACCCUAUCUCCAUCAGAACACGCCCACUAGCCCGACUAGUCAGCACGCAGCACGCACACUAGGAGGUCCUGGGUUUGAUUCCCAGGCUCCCCAAUUUUUGUUUUUAUGCAUUUAAAAUGCUGUUUGAUAUUUAUUUGUGUUUAAAUAUGUUCAAACUUGUUUAAAUCAUAACAGUAAUAUUUUUUUAUAAAAACAGUAAUGAUUUUUUAAAAAAUAUCAUCAAAUUUGUUAUUUGAAAAUAUAAUCAAAUUUGCUUUUUUUUUGCAAAUUUAGUUGCAUUCAUUUAUGACGGNNNNNNNNNNNNNNNNNNNNNNNNNNNNNNNNNNNNNNNNNNNNNNNNNNNNNNNNNNNNNNNNNNNNNNNNNNNNNNNNNNNNNNNNNNNNNNNNNNNNNNNNNNNNNNNNNNNNNNNNNNNNNNNNNNNNNNNNNNNNNNNNNNNNNNNNNNNNNNNNNNNNNNNNNNNNNNNNNNNNNNNNNNNNNNNNNNNNNNNNNNNNNNNNNNNNNNNNNNNNNNNNNNNNNNNNNNNNNNNNNNNNNNNNNNNNNNNNNNNNNNNNNNNNNNNNNNNNNNNNNNNNNNNNNNNNNNNNNNNNNNNNNNNNNNNNNNNNNNNNNNNNNNNNNNNNNNNNNNNNNNNNNNNNNNNNNNNNNNNNNNNNNNNNNNNNGAGCGGGGGAGGGAAAUAUUCUUUCUCUCCGAAAGCACCUGCCCCGCGAGAUAACCGAAACCGAGAUAGUCGUGCACCGUCGUGAGCAGUGCGGCUCUCAUAGGGAAAUAUUCUUUCUCUGCGGCGUCCCACGUAUCAACCAACUGCCCCAGGUGCGCCAUUAGUAGUUUUGCAAAAAAGUAAAAAAAAAUUGUAGUGGCGCACUAUGUUCCUGGUGCGCCAUUACUAGUUACAACUAGUAAUGGCGCACUAUGUCCUGGUGCGCCAUUAGUAUGUCUGGCAAAAUAAAAAAAAUUGUUACUAAUGGCGCACCGUGUGUCUGGUGCGCCAUUAGUGUAUUUCACACUAAUGGCGCACCAGCACAUGGUGCGCCAUUGCUACAUAGCAAUGGCGCACCACAUAUCUGGUGCGCCAUUAGUGGCCAUUCCAUCUAUAGCCCUUUUCCUAGUAGUGUAUUGCUGCAUGUAGAUUUGGUUGAAAUAAAUAAAUAGAGUUUGGCUAAUAUUUUGGCAAUCUGGUGCUCACCAGAGGAUAAUGAGUAGGCCAUGCACUAACUUUAGUAAUGAAUUUGUAAAGCUGCUGAUGUGCCCUUGUGCCUCCUCCGGGAUUGUAACUAUGAGGUUGUAAUACUUAUUUUUGUGUUCAAAUGCAUUGGCAGUAGUAGGAGAACUCAACAAGUAAAGGCAGUGUAAGGAAAACAAGUGAUAGGUGUAUGGUACUCCCUUCGCCCCAUAAUAUAAGAGCAUUUUUUACACUAGUGUAGGACGUGGAUCAAGAGUAUCCAUGACAUGCUGAUGUGACGCUUGGUAAACGUUCAAAGCCAAUUAACCAUGUUGUUUUUGUGAAUCGGUGCAAUACGUAACAUUAUUCGAUCCUACGUGUGUACACUUUUAGCACUGAACACACAUGGUACUAGCUAAUUGUAACUAUUAUUAAAAAAUACCAACCAAAGCUCUUGUCAGCGCCUUGGGUUCCAUCAGACAUGCAACACGGGCAUGAGAGAGCAACACCGAGGGCUUGCGACGCAGAGUGACAGACAUCCUGAGUGAGGGAAUGUGGAAAAAAGAAAUAGCCCAAGAUCAUCAAAAAGCACCCGAGGCAAGAUGUACUAGGUACAUCUACAAGGAUUGAAGAAAGAAAAAAGUCCGUUGGCCAUGAUGUAACCCAACAACUUAUCCGUCCAUACCCGAUGUCUCUCAAGCCCACGAUUUUAGUUGCUCACGUUUUGUCUCCGAUCCAGUGUGGCUUGGUCUGAAGCAUGGCAAUCAACUUCCUUAUCUAUAUUUCUUUCUUCCAUUCUUCCACUUUACAAAGACUAUUGUGUGUAUCAUGGUUUGCUCUAUGCUACUCGACCACUUAUACAUGGCUCAGCUGGAUGCAUUUUUCAACCACAUUGUCCCACUAAAUGAAGGCUAUUCAUUAUCUAUCUUCGCUACAGCCAAGGAGCACAUGGUUCCUAUUGAGGAUCAUUUUCCUUUACUCGUGUAGGAGUGAAGUUCUCAUUCUCAGCAUUUAUGUAGUUUUAGUUCCGGGCAACCACAGCAAUCACCACAUGGUCCGUACCCCUAGUUUAGUUGCUACUUCGUAUUAAUUGCAUCAUAAAUAGAAUACCCUACACAUGCUCAUUCAUAAGAAUUUGUAAUGACUUAAUGGGAAUUAUAAACAUGUUGUUUUGAAGCAUUCAACUCACCAAUAAUCACAUCGAAGAGUACACUAACUGUAGUGCUUUAAAUGAAGACUCUCAACACUAUAUCAUCUCAGCAUUUGCAUGCAACAAACCUCUGCAACAAGCUCAUUCCGAGGAAACAAUGAUGGAUGACAUAGAUAGGUAACCCAUAAUACUCUUCUCAAAAAUCAUUGUGCACAUUAUAUGAGUCUAAAACGGUUGAAGACGUUCAAACACUUGAGCCAUGACUAAGUUUCAAUUCACACAAAAAUUAUAGAGACUGAAUGUAGACUAGUAAGGUUAUAAUAUGAUAUUGCGGAGCCAGGAACUAUCUGCAACAUACCCAUUCAGAGUAGAAGAAAUUAAACUAGAGUAUGCAAUAAGUAAUGUGAUAUCAUUCCCAUCCAAUUGUUGAUAGUAAACUGAGUAAUUACUAUCAAAUUUAUACAACAUCCCUUCUCUUUAAAAAAAUAUGGAACAUGUUUCUUCCACUUUUUGGUAGAUAAAUUUCUAGCAAAAUUCUUGUCCCCAUUGGAGUACAAUUACAUCGAACAGCAUACCUAGCAGUUUUUGGGUGGACAACUUUUGCUUCACCAUUUUGCAAGUAGGAGCAUCUACAGUCGGACUUGACAAAUUCGGCCCCUCAAACGCCCGCGGACGCGUCCACCCCGCGUCCGUGGACACUGACCGGGCACCCCUCAAAUCGCGUCGUUCACAUCCGUGUAUCUCAUAUCCGAACCCCUGUGUCCAUACUAAAUCAUGCAACAUCGAUCAAACUACGUAGAUCGACCAUCCGGACAUAGAAUCGGACAUAGGACAGCACAAUAGUUCACCAAAAGAUCACCAAAGUUCACAUAAACGACGGACAACUUUAUACUACAUCUAAAACUUCAAAUGAAAUUGAACUUCACCACUUCCGGGCCGGCCCUUCUGGUCGUCGACGUAGCUGUAAUUGUCGGCGGCUGGUGGAGGAUCAUCGGAUUUGUCGGACGAGGAGCCGUCACUGCCGGAUGACGAGGAGGAGAUGAUGACGAGGCCCUUGAGGCGCUGGAUGGUCCGGUCUUGCUGGCGCCUAAGCUUGGCCGGCUAAGCCGCCUCCGCCGCCUUCUCCUUCGCCUCCCGCUCGGACUGCUCGAUGGCAAGCCGGAGGGCCUUCGCGUUCUUCCGGCGGAGCCGCCGAGCGUCCAUCUCCGCCGUCAUAAGUGACUGGCGGUAGAACCUCGCGAGGAGCCGCUCGUCCUCAUCGGGCUCCGCCGGUAACCCACAGCGGCGGCGGAUAGAGCUCUCCGCAGUGUCCCUGUCCCUUGCCUGCUUCCUCUCGCAGCUGGCGGCACGCGCCUCCGACUCCGGCGUGCGCGUCCGAGCCGGCAGGUCGGGCACAAGCACCCACCGCUGCCAUGAGGGGGAGAGGCAGCCGGCGGGGACAGGGGAUGGCGUAGGAGAGGCACGGAUUGCGCAGGCCGCCUGUCGGAGCUGUCCCUGGGCCGGGAGGGACCAGCGCCGGCGUCCGAGCUGCGCCAACGGGGAAACUGCGGCUGCGGCGAGGCUGCAGAUCUGGAGCCGCCCCCGGUCUCCACCUUGGACCGCUCCAAGGCGAUGCAGAGGGCUAGCCCAUACUCCGGAUCCAGCUCGUCGUCGGAGCGGCUGCCGGAGCUCGACAUUGCGCCGGAUUCGAUCNNNNNNNNNNNNNNNNNNNNNNNNNNNNNNNNNNNNNNNNNNNNNNNNNNNNNNNNNNNNNNNNNNNNNNNNNNNNNNNNNNNNNNNNNNNNNNNNNNNNNNNNNNNNNNNNNNNNNNNNNNNNNNNNNNNNNNNNNNNNNNNNNNNNNNNNNNNNNNNNNNNNNNNNNNNNNNNNNNNNNNNNNNNNNNNNNNNNNNNNNNNNNNNNNNNNNNNNNNNNNNNNNNNNNNNNNNNNNNNNNNNNNNNNNNNNNNNNNNNNNNNNNNNNNNNNNNNNNNNNNNNNNNNNNNNNNNNNNNAGAGAGAGAGAGAGAGAGAGAGAGAGAGAGAGGAGAGUGAGUGAGCUAGGAUUUCGGAGCGAUGAGCGCGAAGGGGUUUUUUGUGGGACAUCCGUGGGGGUCGGUGGCGAGCAGGGCUUGUCAGGCGGACGCGCCCGGGUGUGCCCAGGCCGCCUCAUAUCCGCCCUACAUUUGGGACGGAAAUGAGGGGUGCCCGUCAGCCCGGGCGUUUGAGAGCUCCGAUUGGGUUGAUAUUUUGUGACCGGUCAGUGACCGGACGGCCUUCACCUCUAAAUAGAAUUUUUGGUAUGAGAGGAUCAGAAUAAAGUAAUUGCUUGGCACUGAAUCAUAGAUGAACUGAGAAGAGGAAACCUACCAAAAAACAUGCUCAAAGAUUGAUGGGCUAAGGUCCAGUUAACCACGUUGCAUGGAUUUUUCCACGGGAGUAGCCAUCCUCAGGACAGCUAGCCCACUUAGCGAUUGAUUACUGGAAGAUGCAACGACCUGACUAAUGAAAACGAUCUGCAAACGAGAUCUGACGGCCAAAAUUACUGAGGCGCUGAGAGAGCUCGCUUUAGGCUCGGUUUGACUGUCCUUAAUUCCCCAGCAUGUACCCUCCUAAGUUAUUUUAUGUGGUUCCAAUGUGAGUCAACAGUUGCCGUCAUGCUGCUACAAGCUAGCACCCAGGUGAACCGUAAGUCCUGAAGCCUCUCAAGCUCAUGAUUUGCUAGCAUGCCACUAUCCCAGUGUAUAGGGCAUGGUGAUAAACUCUCUGUCUCCCUUCCUGUCUCCUUCAUUCGAUUCUCAGUUUAGAAAAUUAUGUGCUGGUAAGCUUGCUCUCCCUAUGCCACCUUUUAUAAUACGGUUUGGUUGGAUGUGAAUGUACAAUGUCCUACUACCUCUGUAACUUAAUGAGUACCAAGUAAAGGUUCAUGAUUCCCUACAAUGACCAAGAGCAGAGACCAUGUGGCCACCAUUUUUAUUUGUCAUGUUUAGUUAUCACCACACCCGCAAAAAAUGUUUAGUUAUCACUACAGUAGUUGAGCAAUUAUAGUUAUCGCUACAAGAGUCAUACAUGAGCUUAUAAAGCUUAGGCUACGAGUACACUAAGCUCAUUUCCUUUCAGAACAGAUAGUUUACAGAACCCAAAACGCAGCACAUAUGUUGGCUUGGCAACUGAGUGCAAUGAUCCAGAAGCAUGCCAAAGCAUUGGACCAUAUGACAACACUUACAUAUUACAUAAAAUAUAUCCUCGAAUCUGCAGCAUUAACAACACCAAGCAAGCUGGGAAGUAGGCUACAGUUCAGUUCAAAACAAAGGACAACGAUACACUUUCUUCUAAAGUCUCUUCCAAAAUUUAUGAAAACAAUGCCCUGAGGAGGUUGGUACACAAUUUUGAAGUGGUUACAAUCAGCUCGAUUCAGCACGGCAGUACUCAUAUCCAUCCUAAAUCAAGGAAUCUGGGCAAC
rnacentral:lncRNA from 1 species